AUUUGCCCGACUUCAAGAAGGAUGAUCAGAAGGCCAUUGAUGCCGAGUUGAUGAAGGCUAUCGAUGCUGUCCCAGACCUUAAAAAUUAUCUUGGUGCCCGGUUCUCCCUCAGGGAUGGUGACAAGCCGCAUGAGAUGACCUUCUAAGUUACCUGGUACAAGUUUCAAGAUCUGUGGAAGUCUUUUUUGUCUAGUGUGUGUGCUGGUUCUGUACUUCUGAUUUCUUUUGCCCGGUUGGUGAAUCUUUGAUUUCCACUGAAGUCUGCCUGUCAAAUAUUUUGAGAAGAUUACUAGAAGUACCAUCCCCUUUAUUGGCCCGUUGCGACAUUUUCUUGAUCCGUCAUUGUAUUAUUCAGGCUGCAAUUCUGAGUAAAUGUUUUAUCUUCUGAUCAUUGUGCAUGACGCCAUUUUCUUGAUCCGUCGUCAUAUUAUUCAGGCUGCAAUUCGAGUAAAUGUUUUAUCUUCUUAUUAUUGUGCAUGACGCCAUUUUCUUGAUCCGUCGUCGUAUUCUUCAGGCUGCUAUCCGAGUAAAUGUUUUAUCUUCUGAUCAUUGUGCAUGACGCCAUGUCGAGUAUGUAUUUGCAAGUAGGUCAACAGUAUACGGUGGUCCUUAUUUGCAGAGCUUGGACAGUAUUAUGAUUUCGUUAUUACGUGUCAUUAGUCUGCAACAAUCCGUUCCCCUAAAAGUUCUCCAGCAGAUCUUGUAAACGUGAGUAAUUUCUGGUUUAGGGAAAGUUGGGCCAAAAAAGAGGUCCAACAGAUCUCGUAACUUAUUCUGGCAGAGUGCGUACAAUCUGCUCAACUUAUCAGCAAAAUGUCCAAGAUGAUACUCCCUCUGAUGUGAAAUAUGUUUUAUUGUUGUUCAAUCUUAGAGAUCAUAGCUAGAAAAGCAAGUUGGAGGAAGUAAAAAACAAGAGAACUUAAGGUGGUCUGAGGUCAAUUGACAAGCGCAAAGUGGCAAUCAAGCAGCACAAGGCGGCAAUCGAAGAAGAGAAGCCGAGUAGGAAUGAUGUGACGGUGGCCCGAUCUUUUGAUUAGAGUGGGGAUAACUAUCGAUUCUUUGAUGGUUAUUGAUCUUGUCGUAGGCACGAUCAUCUUGAACAACGAGGUUCGUGUUCCUGGAAGCAACCGAAGAACCGGCAAUAAUGAAAAAUUGAGCACAUAAAAUAGAUGAAAAGUUGUAGUUAUACUAUGGAUCUGACAAGGUGGUAGUCCUACACUGUAGAUGCGAAUUGUAAUGAUGGCUAGAUAAUAUAAUAAAAUCUAAAUCUAACCCUAACAACGAGCUAACUAUUUAUUAGUGGAGAUGGCCGCCGACGUAGACUCAUGAUGCAAUCAUGGCUGCCGUGGAACAUGCCCGUACGGAGACCUCCUUCACAACACUGCCUAGCCGAAUUGAUUUAUCGGCCUAAUGUUUGUUGCAUCCCACGUACAUGGCUGAUUGGUCUUGCAUCUUCCAACUCUAAGUGAGCCUCUCCCAUUAAGCAUGUACCCCUUCGUUUUUGAUGAUUUUAUUUUUCAAGUAUGCGUGCACACAUUUUUCGUAUCUCCAUCUUGCAUCUUUACACGUGGCUUGUACAACUCUCUAUUAACUUUGCACAAAAUAAAACAUUGCAUCGUAUUUCUAUUUGGAUAAACAAACUAACAAUUCAUAUAAUUAUUAAUAGAAGCCAUCUGUUAUUGUACAUGUGGACAAUAUGGUUGCUCGUAUCUGUAUAGGCCAUGUCCACAUCAUCCCCCUUUCUUAAAAACAAAGCCGUCCUUGGCGUGGCUUGAUCUGAAACAUGACUAAUAUAACAGAAAGGUGUACGUGCUGUAUAUGUAUAUGUCAUCCAUUUUAACUGUCCAAGAAUUUUGCACGAGUGACACAUUCAUACAUGAGUAAUUGAUAUGUCCUGUGAAAUCUAAUGCUACAAAAUUAUCACAAGAAACAAUUCAACAAAAAACAUUGCAACUCAGUUUGCACAUAUAAGUGAAGCUCGUAUUCAUAUCAUAUAAACUGCAGUGCCUAUUAUUAAGUCAUCCCAACAUAGGUAGAUAAUUAUUAGGCAUAUCCAAAUUAGCAUGUGUAUAUAAGCAGUCAUGCAAGAUGCUAUUCGACAUGUAAUCAACGAUGAUGUUGGAGGUCCUAUUGAAAUGAUCAAGCAUUGACUUAUUAAUAAUUUCUUUCAAGCUAGCAACAUCAUCACAUGUGAUGCAAAUUCUAUGCACCACAAAUUCAUUAUCUAUGCAUUCCUCACCAAUCAAGUUAAAAGUAAGAUUAAGUGCAUCAACACUUUUCAUGGAACUCAAACAUGUAAUUUCAACUAUGUUAUUUCUCUCAUGUGACGAAGCCAUAGGUGGAUCAAUCAAAACAGAAUACAAAGAAUUAGCAUGAGAAAUUCGAGCUAAUACUUCAUCAUGUUUAACCAAUUGUAUGUGAUCCAACCAGAUUUAGUUAGUAAGUCACAUGGUUCAUUAUCAAUGGCCUUUAAUUUAUUGGGUGCACUCAGAUGAAUGGAGGAGUCAAUUUUAGUAGUUGAUGCACGCAAAACAAUAGGUGUGUCAUUUGUUUGAUCACACAAGUUAUCCAAUGUAGCAACACAAUUAUCCAUCAUAAACUGCGUGAUCAAAACAGAUGGCAUUUCAUUCAACUCAACACAUGAAGCUUUUAAUUUAGCAUGACAUGGAACAAUCUCAUGUGGAAGUGUAGAUGCAAUACCUUUCUUAUUACCUUCGAUGGCUAACUCAGAAGAUGUAGGUAUUGUCAGUGGCAUCAUGCCACAAGCUGGGAGUGUUGUGGCUUUCGAUGCAUUGGGUCCAACAACCAUAUCAUUUUUUGCAUGAGAAGAAGUAACUGAAACAAAACUUCCUGUAGGGUACUGCACCUUGUGUUUCUUUAUCGCACACAUGUGUCUAUUAAUAUUUUGUUCAACUUUACAAGCAAGACAGAACAACCCAUUGAUUGAAUCAUAUUCUUUAUGCGCAAGUAUAUCAUAAAUAUCACGGUUUAAUCCCCUCAAGAAUCUAUUCAUGGUAGCUUGUUCACAUUCUUCUAUGCCACAACGAAACAAAGCAAUACACAAAUUAUGAUAAUAUUCUUCAACGGUGUCAUUGCCUUGUGCUAAAUGUUGCAAUUUUCUAAGCAAAUCACUAGCAUGGUAUGAAGGAACAAAUCGGUUUCGCAUGACAAGUUUGAAAGCUUUCCAAGUAGUAGGUCUAUUAUAAAUAUUUUCUUUGCAAUAAUUUCCCCACCAAACUGAAGCAAAAAAGACAAAAUAUUGAGUGACAUCAUUUAUUUUCUUCUGCUCAGAAAAAUCAUGGCUACCAAAUAUUUCUUCUACCUCAGUUUCCCAAUCAAUAUAUGAAUCGGUGUCACAUUUACCCUCAAAAUUUGGCAAAGAGGUAACAUGAUGAUGUGUGUUUCUACCAUGAUGUACAUCUUGUGACGGUCGUCGUACCGUUUGUUGCAGGAAAGAGUGAUUUGUAUCAACAUAUGGCAAGUCAUCUCCCACAAUAGACACAACCCAACUAUUGAUCACUCUAGAAUCUGCCAUGGUUAGUAACAAACAGAACAAGAUCACAAGUAUAUUGUUCCUAUAAUACUACUCGGAGGUGGUGGAAAUGUUGCUCAACUCUCUAGAAAUGACCAAGCUCUUACCCGUUCUUACCGCGCCGCAGUGGUUGUCGGCCAUUGGCGAUGUCAAAAGUUAUCGAAAGGUUGAUAUAGCGAUUACCAAGUGGCCGAACAAAGUGCAGUAUAGGAAGUGGAGCUUGGUGAUGAUUUCCUCAACUCACAAUAUCAGUGGCACAAUUAAGUAAAAAGUAAUGCAAGUUGAACAAUUGCUCAAACUCCUAACUAAUGCUGGUAGUCGACUAGUAAGAGAUAAAACAAUCUAAGCCCAGAUACUGAAACAAAUGAGUGAAACCGGGUGAAGAAAGGUAUGUGAUAAUCGAAGUAGCGAGGGACACACAUAUAUAUAACAAGGCUCCAACAGAUACAAAUGAUAUGAUGUGGUGGUUGGAGCAACAAGAUAAUGUCCAGAGUAUCAAUAAGAGAUUAGUCUCAACGGAUGUAAGCAACCUUGUUUUUUUUGAAAAAAUCUAUUUUUUUUGCUCUUUUUUGUGCUCUCCCCCCCUCUUUUUAGGUCGGCUGCUAGCAAAAUCAUGGACAGAAUUAAAGUCACAAGAGAGAGAGAGAUGCAAAGCUAUUGAACAAGUGCUACUGGAGCUAGCUAGAAGUGCAUUGGAGUUGAGAUUAGCCAGUAGUACUACUAGUGCAUAAUGCACAUGAACAACUGAAGGAGAUUUGUGUGCGUGGUACGUGUGGAGUCAGACAACCAACACGAGAUGUCUACUGGCUGGCGUGUUAGCCUAUGGUGAUGCGACACGGGGCAGCAGACACAAUGUGAUCGAUUGUCUGUCCGCUCGCGAAACGAAAAGCCUGUAUGGAUGGUCGAUGUACCUACAAGAAUUUGCAAUGGGAAUCAGUGCCUGGUAAUAACUAUAGCAAAGGAAAAUACAAACUUCCCGAGUCAACAGAAAUUGGAAUCCACCAAUCGCUAUAUGUCUUUUAUUUUGCGGACCGCGAACUAGCGCUGCGAUAGAGAAUAUGAGGGUGGACAAAAACAGAUUGAUCUAGUAGACAAUUUUCUCCCCGAACUAAUCUAAACCGGCACUAAUUCUAGGAUGAAUGCAACCAAAAAUUCAACUAUGCAAAUACUAGAUGCAAAAAUUGCUAAAGGCUAAAAAGAUAGGUGCAACGGAUUAACUAAUCUAUUUUUUUGGCUUUUUCGUGGGUUUAUAGGACAUACAAAUAAACUAAUCUAAUAAAACUGUAAAUCUCUCACCGAUGAACCCGAAAACUGAUACCACUUGAUGUGACGGCAGCCCGAUCUUUCGAUGAGAGUGGAGAUAACUAUCAAUUUGGUGGAUUUUGAAAACCAAUCUCCGAUGGUUAUUGACCUUGUCAUAGGCACGAUCAAUCUGAAAAACGAGGUUCGUGUUCCUACAAGCAACCGAAGAACUGGCAAGAACAAAGGUGAAUUACAAUCUGAAAUUGCAGAUGAAAAAUUGAGCACACAAAAUAGAUGAAAAGUUGGGGUUCCAUUGUGAUCUGACAAGGUGGUAGUCCUACACGUCUCGCAGAUGCGAAUUGUGUCGAUGGCUAGACAAUACAAUAAAACCCAAAUCUAACCCUAACAAUGAGCUAACUAUUUAUUAGUGGAGAUGGCCGCUGACGUAGACUCAUGAUGCAAUCGUGGCUGCCGUGGAACAUGCAGGAGCCAACCCGUACGGAGACCUUCACAGCACUGCCUAGCCGAAUUGAUUUAUUGGCACAAUGUUGCACCCCACGUACAUGGCUGAUUGGUCUUGUGGUCUUGUGCACUUGGACUUGGGGACGUUGCAUGCAUGAUGCAUGGUCUGGCAGGGAUUACAUGCAAUGAGUGAUACUUCUGCUGAGUUUAACGUGCAUGCAUCUCCAUCUUCCAACUCUAAGUGAGCCUCUCUCAUUAAGCAUGUAUCCCUUUGUUUCUGAUAAUUUUAUUUUUCAAGUACGCGUGCACUUUUUUCCGUAUCUCCAUCUUGCAUCUUUACACGUGGCUUGUACAACUCUUUAUUAACUCUGCGCAAAAUGAAACAUUGCGUCGUAUUUCUAUUUGGAUAAACAAAAUAACAAUUCAUAUAAUAAUUAAUGGAAACCACCCGAUUCUUGUACAUGUGGACAAUAUGGUUGCAAGUAUCUGUACAUGCCAUGUCCACAUCAUUUCAAUACUAGGAAAAGCCUCAUACGUAGAGGCUUAACAUGCACUAAUAUCUCCUUUUUAUUGAUCUGGUAUUGAAACUAAAAGGAGUAUCCCUGAUGCAGAGCAUCCCACUGUCAUCCUCAUGGACCAUCCUACAUCUCCCAGGACACCAUUUGGACCAAUGACAAGAGCUCGUGCAAAAGCUAUCAAAAACGAGGUUAACUCUCUCCUUGUUGAACUCCCCUUUGACCCACUUGAGACAUGGUUACUACCUCAAACGGAGAUGCUUUGUGUGCUUAGGUACCAAGGAAGCAACCAAGGAGAAGUUACGGUGCAAGUUGGACAUCAAGAGCAUGAAGAGAACCUGCCCAGCCCAAAAAUCCCGAUACAACCGCCCAUGUACCGCCCAACUACCGCCCGGGCGGUACAACCGCUCGACUACCGCCCAACCACCGGCCCAACUUCUGUGAUCAAGCAGUGCAAGGCCGGUACAACACUGGUUUCUCCCCGUAACAGCAAAAAGACCGGUACAACCGCUCCGAUCAUUGGUACAACCGCUACUCCCUUCCGCGAACACCUCCAGGAACCAGCACCUGAGCUCCCAGCGGUACAACCGCCCCCACCCCCCAUGACCAGUACUACCGCCCUGCCUACGCGCAGUGAAAGGGGUUUCACCCCAUGUAUCCCCCACUUACCCCUUGGACUAUAUAUACUUAUCCCCUAGCUCCGUAUUAGGGUUAGCAAUGGUUUAGCUCAUUUGUGAGAUAGAGCUUUGCUCAUCCAUCCGGAUCUACUCCAUCGAGAGAGACCGCGGCCUCUACGGAGAAGAUCCAUCAUUGAUUCAAGACCCCUCAUGGGAAGACCCACAAGACCUCCUCACGGAGAAGAACUUGCUACUUGUAUCGUCCCUUGUUUAUCAUGGAUCGUGUAUCUCUUUGUGUUUCGAGGAUCUAGCACAUGUGUAAUCGAAUCUUGUUGGUUUGAGUGAUUUCUCUCGUCGUGUUUUCCCUCAUGUUCUUCGUGUUCUUGGUAGGAUCCACUCCAAUCGUGAAAGAUUGGACAUCUAGGGUUCCACCCUACAUCAUCUUGGAUCAGAGCAAGGUUGAUCAUGAAUUUGGAGCCCCUACCCCCUUGUUUUCUAGCCUAGUUUUGUUGUGUUCUUCCCCACAUUCGAAAAUCCCCACCAAAAAUAGCCCCAAUUUUUUUUUGUGAUUUGUUGGUUUGAUGAAGUUUUGUUGGAUUUGAUCCGUGGAUUUGCUGUGUUGGAAGUGGAUCUACCUUCCCCGUAAGUUUCCCCACCUUCCAUCCACGAAAUCUUCACAGUUUUGCCCCCGAAAUCAUCCAUUUCCACCCCAAAGUCCACCCAAUAUCCAUAUCUAAAUUUUUUCCCGACAAUAGCAGUACAACCGGCAACCGAGGCGAUACAACUGCCCCCCAUCACCUAAUACUUCUGCCAGCCCAAAACGGGAACCCCAGGACGCUCCAGGAGCGGUACAACCGCCCACCCAAGCUGUACAACCGCCCCUCCCAGUUUCAGCCUCGGCUGAUUGACAAUUUUGACCAUAACUAAUUCCUACGGACUUGGAUUUUGACGUUCUUUAGCUUGUUUUGAAGCUAUUCACAUCACACAUACCACCAAAAUACUUCCAAAAUCAUUUAACUCCAUCAAAGUUUUGGAACUUUGGCAUCUUUGCCUAGGGCCUUCACCACAUCAUCCGCUAUACCACCACCAACUUCCACAACUUAACCCAUUUUGUUUCCCAUAGCAUUUGUGGUUGUUUGAGUUGUGAUUUGAGUCUCCUAAGGUGUUUCGGCUACUUAGGGACAGUUGCUUCUUCAUCAACCACCACCACCGCAUUCCGCUACCACCAUUUGACUUUGGUUUUGAGAAAUUUGAGUUGUGGUUCAUCAUUUCCUAGGGUGUUUAGGCUAACUAGGAACGGUUCGACAUCGACAUCACCACCGCUCAUAUUUGCCACAGACUCGUCAUCAACAACGACCAUUUCACCGUCAUCCAUCCUUGCUUACAAAUGGGUAAUCCUCGACUGUAACUUCCAUGACAUCUUUGUCUACUCCUUGCCAUUGCAUUGAUAACCCCAUAGACCAUUUUGCGUACCUUACCUAUCGAGACUAGCCAUUUGAGUAUUGUUGCCGGCAACGUUACUUGUGCACAUUAGUGAUCAUUGCUCCCAUUGCAUACACACCACAUCAUCUUGGUGUCCAUAUCUUGGUAUCAUCUUUUGUGUUACAAGGUUGUCAUCGCAUAUACACAAUUGCUAUCUUGGUUCGUGAAGUUUUGCAUAAGAGGCCAAAGAAAGAGCUCAAAAGAGAAAGAACCAAACAAGCUUUUAAGCAAAAAGGAAAAGAUAAGCAAAGAGCUUUUAUGCAAGAACCAUAGCAUCAUACAACAACAAGAUUGUCAUACUCGGUCAUCUUGGAUCAUAUCAUAGGAACACCUUACACAUAGCAUACUUGGGAUAGAAGUCGUUGCACUUUGCUAAGUAGGUUGUGCACAAGUCUCGUAUCCGCCUAUUGUGCAAUCAUGCUAGCGUCUCUCUAGAGUUGUGCAACAAGAGCAUUUUCCGUGGAUUCCACAUUUUCUGCUCAUUUUUGGUUUACACAACCCCACUUAUCUAUUUGCGUGUGUGUUUCUGUGUACCAAUACUUGCUUGGUCUACUUGUUACAUUUGCGAAUUUUCGAAUCUUUUUCAACAUCAUUGAGUCUCACUAACAAUUGCAUAAACUUUGUGCCACCAUCCUAACCGAGCUCCACCAUAAGCUUUUGCUUGUGUAGAUGUGAGAAUCGACAAGAAUUGGUAUCAAUUGUGCUAUUUCCUUGUUACACAUUUGAGUGAUCAUUGAUCCAUCUUCAACAUCAGUCAAGGUACAUUUGGUAUACAUUCUUCUCUUUCUCCCACUCACAUAUUUGCUUGGAAUGAUGGAUAGGCCAAGUUCUUCUAUGAACCCACUCUUCAUCAAGCAAGACGAUGACAUGACCUCCUACGCCACAAAGAGCCACCUCUUCGGUGCACAACGAGCUUUGCAUCAAGAACAACAAGCAAUGAGCGACCGCAUCGACAAUCUCGCGAUCGACUUGCGACUCUCCAAGCAACAUACAAGAGACUACUUCGACAACAAGCUCGACAAACACAAACAAGAGAACGAUGCAAGAAUGGACGAGAUUCAUGCCUUGUUGGUCAACCGCUCUUCUACCACUUCGUCCUACUCAAGACGGAGCCGCUCGAGUCGACACUCUGACGACACCCUCUCGGGCUCAAGUACACCGACACCAAACACUCUUCGACGAGCCACGCGACAAGACCAUCAAGCAAACCGCAAUCCUCUACACGGAACUGAUCCUCAAGAGCAACUUCUUGUGCAAGAACAUCGACAUCGUCAAAAUCAAGCUACCUUUGCGCAAGCACAAGAAAGGCAAUGCCAACGCCAACAAGAGGAAGAGCGAGCGCGCCAACACCAAGACGACCAAGAUGCCGAGGCUCAACGUCUUCAACAACAACGACAUGAAGCACAAGCACUUGAGGUGCAACGUGCCCUCCAAGACACAAGUCACGCCAUCGCCGCCCGCAACGGUCAAACGUGCGAGCAACUAGAAGCACUUAGCGAAGAAUUCCAAGAGAGGAACUAUCAAGCACGAUUGCAUCGACAAGUUCCACAAGCUCCUCUACAAGUCCCACAAGCUCGAUAAGAACAUCAAGUUCGUCAAGAGCAACAAGACAAUGGGAAUCCUCCACGACAAGAGAAACAUGAGGUUGACAACCCUCCAUGUCAAGGGUGUCAUCAUCCCCGACCCCAACACAAUGAAGAGCAACGCUACGACAAGCUCAAGUUCACCAUGCCCAAGUUCACCGUAAGCAAUGAUCCCUAAGAAUACCUAUCAUGGGCAUUGAAGGUCAACAAGAUCUUUUGUUUGCACAACUAUGAGGAAGAUAAGAAGAUCGCCAUGGCAUACCUUGAGUUCCAAGACUAUGUACUCAUAUGGUGGGAGCAAAUCAUCGAGCGCCAAGAAGCAAGAGGUGAACCACCAAUCAACACAUGGGAUCAAAUGAAGGAUGUCAUGAGAGCACGCUUUGUGCCAACAUACUACAACCGCGACCUCUUCAAGAAACUCCAACUCCUCAAGCAAGGAACAAAGAUCGUUGAAGAAUACUACAAAGAAAUGGAGAUUGCCAUGAUACGAGGCAAUGUCACGGAAGAUGAUGAGCAAACAAUGGCAUGUUUCUUGAACAGACUCAAUCAUCCUAUCAAGAAGAUCGCCGACUUCCAACCUUACUCAAACCUCAUCAAGCUAGUGCAUCAACCUACCAAGGCGGAAUAACAAGUGCAAGAUGACUUCAAGUACGCCAAGUACUCUUACAAGAGCUAUGGCUUCUCCAAUAACCAAGCUUCAAUGUCUCCUACCUCGACAAAAGCUUCACCAAGCAAUGGCGACAAGUCAAAUUACAAGAAGACUUCGACAACUUCAAGUCGUCCUCCUACUACAAGAAACUUCAAGACAAGAGCUUCAUCAUCUACUCCAACCGCAGAGACCAUCAAGACAAGUUCAAUCAAGUGUUUCACAUGCGGCGGCCGAGGCCACAAGUCCUUCGAGUUCACCAACAAACGCACCAUGAUCCUCAACAACGACAGAACUUAUGACUCCAUGAGUGAAGAGGAAAUGGAAGCCCUUGAGAAAGUGGCCAUGCACCACAAAGUGAACAAAGAUGAAGAUGAUCAAGUCUUUUGUGACGAAUAUUGGAGCUCCGCUCUUGUUGUCUCCAAGGUUUUGACUCUUCAACAUCAACAAGACAAAGACCAAAGAUGCCAUAUCUUCCACACCAAGGCGGUAUCAAUGGAAGGUCCGUGAAGGUCAUCAUCGAUGGAGGGAGUUGCCAUAACUUGGCGAGUGAAGAGCUAUGUUUCAAGCUCCAAUUGGUCAAGAUGAAGCACCCACACCCAUACAAGGUCCAAUGGCUAAGCGACUCUGGCACUAUCCAAGUCGAGCAUAUGGUGCAAGUUUCCUUCAAGAUAGGAGCAUAUGAAGACACAUUGGAAUGUGAUAUCAUUCCAAUGUCCGUUUGCCACCUCCUUCUCGGACAACCAUGGAAAUUUAACUAAGGCGUCAUCCACAAUGGGCGAACGAAUCACUAUAGCUUCGAGAUGAAGGGAAAGGAGUACGUGCUACGACCUAUGUCUCCAAGUCAAGUGAUCGCCGACAAGCAAGCCACCCAUCAUGGAGAGAAUAGUGAGUGAGCGAACCACCAAAAAGAGAGUGAGCACCACAAGCCAAAAUCGAGUGCCUCCAUGAUGAGCGAUAAGAAAAACUUAGUCCUAUUUGCUACCAAACGUGAUAUGAGAGAAGUGUGUGAGAACCCAUCAAGUGUUAUGCACUAUGUCCUGUUGUGCAAAGACGAGGCAACUACAACUAACACCUCACACAAUCUACCUUUAGUGUUGUCUUCUCUUUUGUAGGAAUUCCAAGACGUUUUCCCCGAUGAGCUACCUCCGGGACUACCACCUCUUAGAGGCAUCGAACACCGAAUCGACCUCAUCCCCGGAGCACCACUUCCUAACAAGGCACCCUACCACGUCAACCCCGAGGAAACCAAGGAGAUCCAAUGGCAAGUAUAACAACUCAUCGACAAUGGCCAUGUAUGAGAAAGCUUGAGCCCUUGUGCCGUACCGGUAAUCCUUGUUCCUAAGAAAUAUGGCACCUAUCGCAUGUGUUCCAGUUGUUGUCCCAUUAAUGCUAUCACCGUUAGAUAUCAUUAUCCCAUUCCAUGCCUAGAUGAUAUGCUAGAUGAGCUUAGCGGAGCCACCAUUUUCUCUAAAAUUGAUCUUAAGAGUGGCUAUUACCAAAUUCGCAUCCAAGAGGGUGACGAAUGGAAAACCGCUUUCAAGACCAAGUUUGGCUUAUAUGAAUGGUUGGUCAUGCCUAUGGGCUUAUCCGAAGCACCCUACACAUUUAUGCGAGUCAUGCAUUUUGUUCUUAGGCCAUACAUUGGUGUAUUUGUUGUGGUCUAUUUCGAUGAUAUCCUUGUCUUUAGCAAAUCCCUCAAAGAUCAUGUCACCCAUCUAAGAACCAUUUUGCAAACCCUUAGGAAAGAGCGCCUUUAUGCUAAUAUGGACAACUGCCUUUUCGGUGUUAAUAAGCUUGUUUUCUUGGGUUUUGUAGUAUCUUCUAAGGGUGUGCAUGUAGAUGAAUCUAAGAUCAAUGCUAUUAAGACUUGGCCACAACCAACCAACUUGCAACAAGUGCGAAGUUUCCUUGGACUAGUCGGUUUCUAUCAUAGAUUCGUUAAGGAUUUUAGCACAUUGUUUCUCCUUUACAUGCUUUGAGUAAGAAGAAUGCACCUUUUGUUUGGGGACCAUCCCAAGAUACCGCAUUCAAUGAGCUUACGAAUUUGCUUACACAUGCUCCUUUGCUUGCAUUACCAAACUUUGAUAAACCGUUUGAGAUACAUUGUGAUGCUAGUGGGUACGGCAUAGGAGGUGUCUUAAUGCAAGAGAAGCACCCCAUAGCUUACUUUAGUGAGAAACUUUCCGGAGCGCAACUCAAUUAUCCCAUAUAUGACAAAGAGCUUUAUGCUUUAGUGCGAGUUUUGCGUGACUGGGAACAUUAUCUUCGCCCUCAUGAAUUCAUCAUCCAUACCGACCAUCAAACUCUCAAGUAUCUUAAGGGUCAAACUAAGUUGAACAAGAGUCAUGCUAAGUGGAGUGAAUUCAUAGAGUCUCUUCCUUAUGUCAUCAAGUACCUUAAGGGUAAAGAAAAUGUUGUGGCAGAUGCGCUUUCCCGCAAAUGCAUGCUUGUUACUAAACUUGAAUUGAAUGUCAUUGGCUUUGAGCACAUAAAAGACCUGUAUGCGCAUGAUCCUACUUUUGCUAUUUCAUAUGCCAAAUGUUUGACACAUACAUCUUGGGAACGCUAUUACGUCAAGGAUGAUUAUCUUAUGAGAGCUAAAAAACUAUGUAUCCCUAAGUCUUCUCUUUGUUUGUUACUUUUGCAAGAGGCUCAUGGAGGAGGACUAAUGGGGCACUUUGGACGGGACAGGACAUUGGCCACGCUCUCCAAGAACUAAUUUUGGCGCGAGAUGUUCUGUGGCGUCUCACACUUCACCAAUCGAUGCUCGACAUGUCGCAAAGCUAAGUCAAAAGCUCAAUCCCAUGGUCUUUAUAUGCCCCUUCCAAUUCCAUAUCACCCAUGGGAAGAUAUUAGCAUGGAUUUUGUGCUUGGUUUGCCUAGAACUAGAAAUGGCAAAGAUUCCGUGUUUGUUGUUGUGGACCAAUUCUCUAAGAUGGCUCAUUUCAUCCCAUGCAACAAGAUAGACGAUGCUUCACAUAUUGCAAAUCUUUUUUGUAGGGAAAUCUUGCGUCUCCAUGGAGUGCCAAAGACGAUUGUCUUGGACCGCGAUGUCAAGUUCUUGAGUUACUUUUGGAAGACUCUAUGCGCCAAGCUCGGAAUCAAGAUCUUGUUUUCUUCGGCAUACCAUCCUCAAACUGACGGCCAGACAGAGGUGACGAACUGUACGCUCUCCACUCUACUACACGUGUUUAUCAAGAGGAACAUCAAGGAGUGGGAGGAGUGUCUACCCAUCGCUGAGUACGCCUACAACCAAGCAAGACAUUCAACUACCGGCAAGUCCCCCUUCGAGGUCAUCUAUGGUUUCAACCCGUUGUCCCCAUUGGACAUUCUCCCUUUACCGCUACAAGAGCGCAUCAACAUGGACGCGAGUGCACGAGUGACCUACCUCAAGAAGAUGCAUGAAGAUACAAGGCACACCAUCGAGCGCCAAGUACAACAACUCGCGACCAAGCUCAACAUCAACAAGCAACCAAUGAUAUUAAACAUUGGAGAUCUCGUGUGGCUACACCUUCGCAAGGAACACUUCCCCAAAGAACGCAAGUCCAAGCUUCUACCUCGAGCCGACGGACCAUUCAAGGUGCUAGCACGCUACAACAACAAUGCAUACAAGAUCGAUCUCCCAUGCGACAAGUACAACGUGAGCGACGUCUUCAACAUCUAGGAUCUCUCUCCCUACCAUGGUGAUGAGGCUUUCGAUCCGAGGUCGAAUCUUUCCCAAGGGGGGGGGGAUGGGAGAUGAUGCGGAGCAUCCCAUGGUCAUCCCCAUGGACCAUCCUACAUCUCCCAAGACACCACUUGGACCAACGACAAGAGCUCGUGAAAGAGCUAUCGAAAACGAGGUUAACUAUCUCCUUGUUGAACUCCCCUUAGACCCACUUGAGACAUGGUUACUACCUCAAAUGGAGAUGCUUUGUGUUCUUAGGUACCAAGGAAGCAACCAAGGAGAAGUUACAGUGCAAGUUGGACAUCAAGAGCAUGAAGAAAACCUGCCCAGCCCAGAAAUCCUGGUACAACCGCCCAUGUACCGCCCAACUAGCGCCCGAACGGUACAACCGCUCGACUACCGCCCAACCACCAGCCCAACUUUUGUGAUCGAGUGGUGCAAGGACGGUACAUCACUGAUUUAUCCCCGUAACAGCCAAAAGACCGCUACAACCGCUCUGACCACUGGUACAACUGCUACUCCCUUUCACGACCUCUGGGAACCAGCACCCGAGCUCCCAGCGGUACAACCGCCCCCAUGACCGAUACUACCGCCCUACCUGCACACAGUGGAAGGGGUUUCACUCCAUGUAUCCCCCACUUACCCCUUGGUCCCCUAGCUCCGUAUUAGGGUUAGCAAUGGUUUAGCUCAUUUGUGAGAUAGAGCUUUGCUCAUCCAUCCGGAUCUAUUCCAUCGAGAGAGACCGCGACCUCUACAGAGAAGAUCCAUCUUGGAUUCAAGGCCCCUCAUGAGAAGACCCUCAAGACCUCCUCAUGGAGAGGAACUUUCUGCUUGUGUCGUCCCUUGUUGAUCAUGGAUCGUGUAUCUCUUUGUGUUUCGAGGAUCUAGCACAUGUGUAAUUGAAUCUUGUUGGUUUGAGUGAUUUCUCUCCUCGUGUUUUCCCUCGCGUUCUUCAUGUUCUUGGUAGGAUCCGCUCCAAUCAUGAAAGUUCAGACAUCUAGGGUUCCACCCUACAUCAAUCCAGCAUCUAUUUUCCUAGAGGUGACCCUGGGUUAUUGAACCCAUGAGAGGAAGAUUCCCUUGAAGAAAUGGUCUCUAGCAAGCUUUUGCCAAAGUGUUAAAUCUAGCUUUUGACCAAAUCAACAAGCAAAUAGUGAUUCAAACACUUAUAAUAAAAAGAAGGUACAUGGAUGAGGUCUUAAUGCUACGUAUUGGUGUUGGGAUAAAAAAUGAUAUUAGUUUGUGCUCGGGAAGUCACCCAUUAAGAGGUGCUUGCUUCGUUUGGAAUGGGGGAUGUGUCCAAAUAACAUCCUGACCAUCAUGAGUCUUGUAUCAAGAACAGUUUUCCUACCGAAGGUCCUAUCUGUCUCACAGGGUUGCCCUGAUAAUUAAGAUAAUGAUGCCAUAAAAAAGCUUUGGACGUUCAAUGACUACACCUCAUGAAUCCCCAAGGUUAUGAUCCAUGUUACCCUACUAAACCUUACUAUCACUGGUGUUUAAUAUAACACUUCAUGGUCCCCUUGCUCCUAACCUCACUGGUGCUCGAUCUCCAUGAUCCUAGGUACCUGCAGAGAUGAAGAUCAUAGACAAGACAAGAGAUACUUCACGAUGCAAUUUUAUUUCACACAUACAAGACGUUGUUUCAAAGACUUCCAUUGAUCCCUUCACCAAAUACCUGGGGCUGCAAGGCUCAUGCCUCAUCCCAUACCUUACCGGACUACUCAUGGAGAUCAGAUCGCGAGAAGAAAUCAUUAAAGAACACAUCUUGAGAUUGAUUGAUUGUAAUAUGUCUUACAAUAGAUGCCUUGUGCGAUGCACAAUUACAAGUAUGAACUAUAUGAGAGAGGGCUAUGUGGUAGAGAUGGCUAUGGAGGGGAAAAUGGCGGCGACUAGGGUUUGUGGAUGGAUAUGAUGUCAAAUGGUUUGCAGUUGUGCUUGACGCUCCUCCUCUGCUCGUUCUAUUAACAUUUCGACGAGGCCCCCUUAAUAAAAGUUGUUUAGGUGGACGAGCUGCCUCGGUUUCUACAUCAAAUGAUUCUCAUGUGAGCAGUCGCAUGGAACAUCGUCUUUUGCUCUGCCUUCUGACGCCUCUUUAUGAUUUAUUUCUCCUCCAUUUUCCUACCUUUCCUUUCUCCCAUGUGAUAUCUUCCCUUUUUAGCCCAUUUCCCGUGGAAAAAAUAUUAAAGAUAGGAUUUGUGCAAUCCUUUGCAUUCAUUCAUCAUUAGUGGCAAUAUCAGAGCGAAUAUCUCUCUUUUAAUGAAAUGUCUCGGUUUAAACAAGGUUGAAAUGAGUGUAAAAGUAUCACUCAUUUACUACCCCAAGCUUAAACUUGAUGGUUCUCGAGCAACAUAGAGAGAAAUUCGAAUCAUAAGGAACUCAGUUGUUUAAACCGAAGUAACGAGAAGGUUUUAGUUCACUUACGAUCAUAUGCCUUGAUAGCCCUCUACUUCUUGACGUGAAAACUUAUCAUAGAUAUACCGGUGGCAUGGUUAUAGUGCAAGUGUUAGUGAAGUAAUGAUAAUCAACACAAAGUUUCUGACCUACUAGAUAAAACAACUUUGCAACACUUCAUUUCAUUUAAUCUAGACAAUACUUUCUUGCCGGGAAUGCAUGGAAGAAUUUCUUAAGAUAGAGCCAUGAAAACAUAAGUUAGGGAGUAGAAAGCAUGUACUAGAACAUGAUGCUCAAGUGCUCUUGAACACACUCACAAUUGUUUCCUCCUCUAGGCUCUUAAACACUUUGUUUCAAUCAUUGUUUGCUAGAACUUUGAUUGUCAUGUGAAGGAGAUUAUGCCAAAUAAGUGAUCAUGCAUAGGUUUUUGCUGUGGCUUAAUGUUUUGGGAACUAUGGACCUUUAGCAAGAAUGUCUCUUUCGAGCUCUUUUGACCAGUCCCCUUUAUUUACCACAUACACACCCAUUCAAGAGAAAGUCAAAUAAUAUCCGUUUGUAGUGUUGCCACUACGCACGGUAACAAACUCAUAGCCAAAAUCCGAGCUAGCGCUCUUGGUGGAUCGUUCAUUGGCUAGCGGAGUCCUCAGCAUAACAUCAAGAAGGGCGAAUAAGCCACAUUUGCAUAUGUAAACGCGCAUUUAGUAGCAAAGGCCAUGGUACCAUCCAGAAGCUAUAACACCAUGUUGAGAUAUACCACACAGAUUUUUGGCAUAAUCUCACCCACCUUUCAACUAAGUUCCUCUAGACAAUUUAAUCCGCAAGUGUUAUCGAGUCUAUUAAAAUUAACAACAUGGGGUUGAGCAUGUUUAAACAUCACUUCCCUAAAAUUUCUCAACUCCCAAGUCUUGAAAGACUUUCUCUUGUGCAAAGUUAUACUUGGUUAAUUUCAUUUCAUUUUCAAAACUGUCCCACAACAAGUCUUAGUUGUCUAAACUAAAGAAAAUAAAGGCUACACAAUUAUUUCAGCUACUAGAGCAAAACCUUUGUAUCAACUAUCAAGACUCACUCCCAUCGACACAUAUUACACAUACUACUACUAGUACAUCUACUCUAAGUAUCCAAGUGCAAAAGACGGGGGUCAUAGGACAUACCUGCACGAUUGCAAAUUUACACACGUCUCUCCUUUACUCUUGCAUUCCUCAUUGUCCUGGCAUAGAUCAACUCCGGAAAAAAUUGCAAAUGAACUCCAAGGGGCUAAAUAAGAACAAGAGCAAAGCAAAGCUUAUUGUAUUUGUUUGGUUUUUGGGUUUCUGAAAACUAACUUGCAACCGAAAAAUCACAAAGGCAAAAACAAAUCAAAAGCAAGUAAAAGCAAUAGUAAAUAAAAAGCAAAGUGUUGGAACAGACCAACACGAGUGUUUUGAAGCUCCUUGAGCUUAAGUACAACUUCCUUACAAUUUAUUCAAAUACUGCCACAUCUUGAUGUAGAAGUGGUGAUAAACUCCCCCAAGCUUAGGCUCUUGCAAUCCCAAACAAGCGAUUUCAUUGCGGCGGUUGGUAAGGAGCCCACUCUUGGCUCCAGUUGGAGAAGUUCAUGUUCAUGUAGGUGGACGUGCUCCUCGGGGAUGACACAUGGUUGCUCAUAUCAUCAAUAGAGACCUGAAGGUUGUUGAGGUCCAUGAAGGUGGUGUAGUCUUGCUGGGGUUGCUCUUCCUCUUCAUUAAUGGCGAGUUCUUCUUGCUCUACUUGUUCAUGUUUUGGCCCUUCUUGGUCAAAAGCUACAUCUCCUUCCUGUGCAACAUAAUGCAAUUGUCCAUUCUUGAUGGAGGAACGAUUAGGCAUAGGUGUGGGUAACAAGUACGCCACUCCAGGAAAUUGAUACAAUGGCGGCCAUUACAAACUACUACCACACCAGCGCUAGUAAGAGCAUGAAGGUUAACAAGGGUGUUACCGACAAUGGGGCGGAGAUGACUGUAGUCAAGGCCAAGGGAGUUGGCCAACAUGGUGACACUCCUCCACACACGAUAUCUCCUUGUACAUGAUUUUCUUGAUGCACGAGGUGUAGCAAAAGUAUUCCCCUAAGUUGGGCGAAUAACCGACGUCCAAGUUUGCUGCUUUCCCGAGAACUAGCAUGUUCUCAUCAUUCACCUUAGAAACUUCUCCUCGUGUCUGCAAGGAGUUAGUGAUAACAUAGUAGAAAUAACGUAUAGCAGGACAUUCAAUGCAACUGGCUCUUUGCUUUGAGCCACGACGACUCAUCGUAAGAAAGGAUUGCCUCAGGCGCGGGUCAGUGAAAUCAUAAACAUAUCUAAUAUCAACAUCAUUGUUGGGGAAGCCAAAAUAGUUGCACCACUCAACAAAAGUGAUGUUAAAGUCUUGGUCAAGGAGACGGAAAGUGAUCCUCUCCUCCUCCUACAUUUGGCACUAAUCCAACAUUGUGCGAGAGAGUACUAAGAAACUCAAGCGUCAAUCGUUCAUAGGUCUCACAUCCCUGAUAAACAAAAUGGUGCAACCCGACAUUAUGAAAAAUAAAAUUAAAAUCAUUAGUAAUACCUGGCUUGGCGAGAGUACUCGCACAAGCCCCUUUCGUUACUUUGAUCUUCCUUGUAGUGAGCUUUUGGAACUUCUACCUUGCUCCACGGUCGGUGAAGAUGAUCCCCUUAGUGAAAACUUGUUGCGGUUGCGCGAUGGAUGAACUCGCCUCACCGUGUAUGCGAGAAGACCUCCGUGUAAACAUCUACAAAACAACUUUUUAGUCCAACAUAAUGAAACAAUAACGAUCCUACGGUACUCACAUCCUCAUGCUCAACUAAAAACUUCAACAAAUCCACGCCAAACUCAUGUUUGAAUCAAAAAUAUGCAUCUCCUAGACAUGGCAAUGCUAGGCAGGUAGAACACGAAUUUGCAAAAAAUAAGUUGGGGAUCGGAGGAUAAAUAUACCGUAGAUCGAUCAUACGGUAAUAUUCGAACUGAACACGAACGAGUACAAAGACCGGGCGAAGUUUUACUAGGUUUUGGAGGAGGAAGAAGAAGAAAAGAGAGAGAUGGGGUUGAAAUAUGUCCUUCCUCAGGCUUAUUGGAGCCGCCGGCGUGCACAACGACCGCUCAUACGGGUGCAAGAGCCCGCCUAGAACGCUGUCUUUAACUCGGUUAAACUCACCUUUGCCUUCGUAGAUGAAAUGACCGCCGAAACAGGCGUCAGCAUCUGUUUCAAACGGCUCCGUUUGGUCUGUUCUUCUUGUACUUCUGGUCGAAGAUGUCAAACGACCGCUCAGACGGGCACUUGCGCCCCGUUUGGAACGCCGUCAAAUGCUCUGGACUCGUUCGUGGUUUCUUUAGAGAAUCAAGAUGACCACAAAAAGAGCAUGUGCGUGAUGGCUCGUGUCCACGUCAGUAUUUUCCCUGGAGAGGAAGGGAUGAUGCAACACAACUACAGUAGGUAUUUCCCUCAGUAAUGAAACCGAGGUUAUUGAACCAGUAGGAGAACCAUGCAACACUAUGUAAAUGAUACCUUCACACAAAGAACAAAUACUUGCAACCCGACGCGUAAGAGGGGUUGUCAAUCCCUACCGGGUAGAAGAUAGAUUGGUUUGUAGUAGAUCCGAUAAAUAGAUCUUGCUAAAACGCGAAAUAAAGUAAAUAACAAAAAAUACAACAAGUUUUUUUUGGGUUUUUAGAAUAAUAGAUCUGAAAAAUAAAUGUCGCAAAUAAUAGAUCGAAAAGCAAAUAUGAUAAAGAAUACACUCGGGGGCCAUAGAUUUCACUAGUGGGCUUCUCUCGAGAAAAAUAACAUACGGUGGGUAAACAAAUUACUAUUGGGCAAUUGAUAGAACUUCAAAUAAUUAUGACGAUAUCCAGUCAAUGAUCAUUAUAUAGCUAGGCAUCACAUCCAAUAUUAGUAGACCGACUCCUGCCCGCAUCUACUACUAUUACUCCACACACCGACCGCUAUCCAGCAUGCAUCUAGUGUAUUAAGUUCAUGAAAAAACAAAAUAAUGCAAUAAGAACGAUGACAUGAUGUAGACAAGAUCUAUUCAUGUAGGAAUAGACCCCAUCUUGUUAUCCUUAAUAGCAACAAUGCAUACAUGUCAAUUCCCCUUCUUUCACUGGGACUGAGCACCGUAAGAUCGAACCCAUCACAAAGCACCUCUUCCCAUGGCAAGAAAAAUUGAUCCAGUUGGCCUAACUAAGCCAAAUAUUCGAAGAAGAAAUACAAUGCUAUAAGUAAUCAUUCAUAUAAGAGAUCAAAACUUAAAUAACUUUCAUGGAUAAAAUAGAUCUGAUCAUAAACUCAAAGUUCAUCGGAUCCCAACAAACACACUGCAAAAAGAGUUACAUCAUAUAGAUCUCCAAGAGACCAUUGUAUUGAGAAUCAAAAGAGAGAUAGGAAGCCAUCUAGCUAUUGCCUACGGACCCAUAGGUCUACAAAGAACUACUCACACAUCAUCAGAGAGGCACCAAUGAGGAUGAUGAACCCCUCUAUGAUGGUGUUUAGAUUGGACCUGGUGGUUCUGGAACUUGCGGUGGCUAGAAUUGUAUUUUCGUCGACUCCCCUAGGGUUUUUGUAUUUUCAUGGUAUUUAUAGAGCAAAGAGGCGGUGUGGGAGGCCACCGAGGUGAGCACAAUCCACCUGGGUGCGUCUGGAGGCCCAAGCGCACCCAGGUGGGCUGUGCCACCAUCGGGGCACCCCUCUGGUACUUCGUUGGUCCAAGUUGUUCCUUCCGGUCUAGAAAAAUUCACCAAAAAGAUUCACUACGUUUGGACUCCGUUUGGUAUUGAUUUACUGCGAAGUAAAAAACAAGCAAAAACAACAACUGUCAUUGGGCACUAUGUCAAUAGAUUAGUCCCAAAAACUGAUAUAUAGUUGCUAUAAAAUGAUUGUAAAACAUCCAAUAAUGACAAUAUAACAACAUGGAAAAAGCAAAAAUUAUAGAUACGUCAUAUCAACAUCCCCAAGCUUAAUUCCUACUCGUCCUCGAGUAGGUAAAUGAUAAAAAUAGAAUUUUUGAUGUGGAAUGCUGCCUAACAUGCUCAUCACAUAUUUUUUCCUUUUGUAGCAUGGACGUCUUUCAAAAUAUCAACACUAAACCAAGUUAUCCCUAGCCCAUCAUGCUCAGUCAUUGAUUCAUUCAUGAGACACUCGCAUAUUAGCUACACCCAAUGUUCAAGUACAAUCAUAUUGCCCCUUAGUUGGUGCUUUAUAAGAGAAGAUGGAGACUCAAAAAAAUUGCAUAAACUAAAUAGAAAGGCCCUUCGCAGAGGGAAGUAAGGAUUUGUAGAGGUGCCAAAGAUCAAAGCAAAAAAAAUAGUGAUAAAACAUUUUGGGUGGCAUGCUUUUCCUGUCAAUGAAAAUGAUCGAGUAGUUCCCAAUACAUUCCAUGCUAGAUAUAUCAUAGGCGGUUCCCAAACAUAAAUUAAAGUUUAUCCUUUUUCCACCAUACUUUCACAUUCCACAGCUAGCUGUAUCCACGGGUUCCGUCCAUACCAACACUUUCCAAGGAAUUUAUUAUUUGACAACAUAAAGUAAAUUCACUUUUCAAUUCGGGACUCGGCAUCCCUAAUACCUUUGCCAUACUCUCGUGCAAUGACAAGUGAAUAAACACUCAUCUUGAGAAUAACACAUAUAGCAUGGAAUAUUAUCAGCCACUGUUUCAUGAGCGGUAUGAGCACACAAAAAGGAAUUUUAUUUUGAAAAUUAGAGAUGACACAUACAAAUUUGCUUAGAACGCAAGAGAAUACCACACAUAGGUAGGUAUGGUGGGCUCAUAUGGCAAAAUUGGGUUUAAGGAUUUUGGAUGCACAAGUAGUAUUCCCACUUAGUGAAAGGGAAGGCUAGCAAAAAGAUUGAGAAGCAUCCAACCAAGAAACGAAAAAUCACAUAAGUGUGCAUUAAGCAUAACUAACACCGAAUAAUGCACCACAAGUAGGAUGUAAUUUCAUUGCAUAAUUAUUGACUUUUGUUCUUGCAUAGGGAAUCACAAACCUUACACCAAUAUUCUUACUAAAGCAUAAUCUCACCAACAUGACUCACAUAUCACUAUCAUCAUAUUGGAAAAACUAUUAAAAAGAAUCAAGUGUAUUUUGUCCAAUGAUCUUCAUGAAAGUUUUGAAGGAAAUAUGCCCUAGAGGCAAUAAUAAAGUUAUUAUUUUAUUCCUUAUUCAUGAUAAAUGUUUAUUAUUCAUGCUAGAAUUGUAUUAACCGGAAACUUGAUACAUGUGUGAAUACAUAGACAAAACAAAGUGUCCCUAGUAUGCCUCUACUAGACUAGCUCGUUAAUCAAAGAUGGUUAAGUUUCCUGACCAUAGACAUGUGUGGUCAUUUGAUGAAUGGGAUCACAUCAUUAGAGAAUGAUGUGAUGGACAAGACCCAUCCGUUAGCUUAGCACUAUGAUCAUUUAGUUUAUUGCUAUUGCUUUCUUCAUGAAUUAUACAUGUUCCUAUUACUAUGAGAUUAUGCAACUCCCAAAUACGGGAGGAACACUUAGUGUGCUAUCAAACGUCACAAUGUAACUGGGUGAUUAUAAAGAUGCUGUACAGGUGUCUUCAAAGGUGUUUGUUGAGUUAGCACAGAUCAAGAUUAGGAUUUGUCACUCCGUGUUUCGGAGAGGUAUCUCUGGGCCCUCUCGAUAAUGCACAUCACUAUAAGCCUUGCAAGCAAUGUGACUAAUGAGUUAGUUACGGGAUGAUGCAUUACGGAACGAGUAAAGAGACUUGCCGAUAACGAGAUUGAACUAGGUAUGAUGAUACCGACAAUCGAAUCUUGGACAAGUAACAUACUGAUGACAAAGGGAACAACGUAUGUUGUUAUGCGGUUUGACCGCUAAAGAUAUUCGUAGAAUAUGUAGGAGCCAAUAUGAGCAUCCAGGUUCCGCUAUUGGUUAUUGACUGGAGAUGUGUCUCGGUCAUGUCUACAUAGUUCUCAAACCUGUACGGUCCGCACGCUUAACGUUAGAUGACGAUUUGUAUUAUGAGUUAUGUGAUUUGAUGUACCGAAGUUUGUUCGGAGUCCCGGAUGAGAUCACGGACAUGACGAGGAGUCUCAAAAUGGUCGAGACAUGAAGAUUUUCAUAUAUUGGAAGGUUACAUUCGGACACCAGAAUGGUUCGGGUCGUUUAGAUGAGUUUCGGAGUACGGGGGGUUACCAGAACCCCCCCGGGAAGUUAAUGGGCCUCAUGGGCCUAGUGGUGGAAGAGAGGAGGCCAACCAAGGAGUGGUGUACGCCCCUAGCGCAAACCGAAUUGGACUAGGGUUUGGGGGGCGGGCGCCCCCCUUUUCCUUCUCUCCUCCUCCUCCUUCCCUCCUUCUCCUACUAGGAAUAGGAAUAAGGAGGGGAAUCCUACUUGGACUGGGGAGUCCUAGUAGGAUUCCCCACACCUGGCGCGCCCCCUUGGGCCGGCCACCUGUUCCCUCCCCUCCUUUAUAUACGUGGCCAGGGGGCACCCCAUAUACACACAAGUUGAUAUUGUAUCCGUGUGCGGUGCCCCCCUCCACAGUUACACACCUCGGUCAUAUUGUUGUAGUGCUUAGGCGAAGCCCUGCGCUGGUAACUUCAUCAUCACCGUCGCCACGCUGUUGUGCUGAUCAAGAGUACGAGGGACGUCAUCGAUCUGAACGUGUGCUGAACACGGAGGUGCCGUACAUUCGGUGCUAGGAUCAGUCGGAUCAUGAAGACAUAUGCCUACAUCAACCGCAUUGAUAAAACGCUUCAGCUUUCGGUCUACGAGGGUACGUGGACACACUCUCCCCGCUCGUUGCUAUGCUUCUCCUAGAUAGAUCUUGUGUAAUUGUAUGAUUUUUUUUGAAAUUACCGCAUUCCCCAACAGUGGCAUCCGAGCCAGGUCUAUGCUUAGAUGUUAUAUGCACAAGUAGAACACAGAGAGUUGUGGGCAAUAAUAGUCAUACUGCUUACCAGCAACGUCUGACUUUGAUUUGGCAGUAUUGUUGGAUGAAGCGGCCUGGACCGACAUUACAUGACCGCGGUCAUGAGACUGGUUCUACCGACGUGCUACGCGCACAUGUGGCUAGCGGGUGUUUGUUUCUCCAACUUUAGUUUAACCGAGUUUGACUAUGCCCGGUCCUUGUUGAAGGUUAAAACAACACACUUGACGAAAAUCGUUGUGGUUUUGAUGCGUAGGUAAGAACGGUUCUUGCUAGAAGCCUGUAGCAGCCACGUAAAACUUGAAACAACAAAGUAGAUGACGUCUAACUUGUUUUUGCAGGGCUUGCUGUGAUGUGAUAUGGUCAAGGCAUGAUGAGAUAUAAAUUGUUGUAUGAGAUGAUCAUGUUUUGUAACAGUUAUCGGCAACUGGCAGGAGCCUUAUGGUUGUCGCUUUAUUGUAUGAAAUGCAAUCGCCAUGUAAUUGCUUUACUUUAUCACUAAGCGGUAGCGAUAGUCGUAGAAGCAAUAAUUGGCGAGAUGACAACGAUGCUUCGAUGGAGAUCAAGGUGUCAAGCCGGUGACGAUGGUGAUCAGGACGGUGCUUUGGAGAUGGAGAUCAAAGGCACAAGAUGAUGACAGCCAUAUCAUAUCACUUAUUUGAUUGCAUGUGAUGUUUAUCCUUUAUGCAUCUUAUUUGCUUAGUAUGACGGUAGCAUUAAAAGAUGAUCUCUCACUAAAUUUCAAGGUAUAGGUAUUCUCCCUGAGUAUGAACUGUUGCUAGAGUUCUUCAUGCUGAGACACCACGUGAUGACCGGGUGUGAUAAGCUCAACGUUCACAUACAACGGGUGUAAGCUAGUUUUGCACACGUAGAAUACUCGGGUUAAACUUGACGAGCCUAGCAUAUGCAGAUAUGGCCUCGGAACACUCAGACCGAAAGGUCGAGCGUGAAUCAUAUAGUAGAUAUGAUCAACAUAGUGAUUUUCACCAUUGAAAACUACUCCAUCUCAUGUGAUGAUCUGACAUGGUUUAGUUGAUUUGGAUCACGUGAUCAUUUAGAUGACUAGAGGGAUGUCUAUCUAAGUGGGAGUUCUUAAGUAAUAUGAUUAAUUGAACCUUAAUUUAUCAUGAACUUAGUCCUGAUAGUAUUUGCAUAUCUAUGUUGUAGAUCAAUAGCUUGCGUAUAGCUCCCCUGUUUUAUUUUUGAUAUGUUCCUAGAGAAAACUAAGUUGAAAGAUGAUAGUAGCAAUGAUGCGGACUAGGUCCAUGAUCUGAGGAUUAUCCUCAUUGCUGCACAGAAGUAUUAUGUCCUUGAUGCACCGCUAGGUGACAUACCUAUUGCAGGAGUAUAUGCAAAUGUUGUGAACAUUUGGCAAGCUUGAUAUGAUAGCUACUUGAUAGUCUAGUGUACCAUGCUUUAUGGCUUAGAACCGGGACUUCAAAAAUGUUUUGAACGCCACGGAGCAUAUGAUAUGUUCCAAGAGUUGAAAUUGGUAUUUCAGACUCAUGCCCGUGUUAAGAGGUAUGAGACCUCUGACAAAGCACUUUGCCUACAAGAUGGAGGAGAAUAGCUCAGCUAGUGAGCAUGUGCUCAGAAUGUCUGAGUACUACAAUCGCUUGAAUCAAGUGGGAGUUAAUCUUCCUGAUAAGAUAGUGACUAACAGAGUUCUCUAGUCACUAUCACCAAGUUACUAGAACUUAGUGAUGAACUAUAAUAUGUGAGGGAUGAAGAAAAUGAUUCCCGAGCUCUUCGCGAUGCUGAAAUUGGCGAAGGUAGAAAUCAAGAAAAAGCAUCAAUUGUUGAUGGUUAACAAGAUCACUAGUUUCAAGAAAAGGGCAAAGGAAAAGAAAGGGAACUUCAAGAAGAAUGGCAAGCAAGUUGUCACUCCCAUGAAGAAGCCCAAAGCUAGACCUAAGCCUGAAACUGAGUGCUUCUACUGCAAAGGGAAUGGUCACUAGAAGCGGAACUGCCCCAAAUAUUUGGCGGAUAAGAAGGAUGGCAAAGUGAACAAAGGUAUAUUUGAUAUACAGAUUAUUGAUGUGUACUUUACUAGUGUUCAUAGAAACCCCUGGAUAUUUGAUACAGGUUCAGUUGCUAAAAUUAGUAACACGAAACGGGAGUUGCAGAAUGAACAGAGACUAGUUAAGGGUGAGUGACGAUGUGUGUUGAAAGUGGUUCCAAGAUUGAUAUGAUCAUCAUCGCACACUCCCUAUACUUCCGGGAUUAGUGUUGAACCAAAAUAAAUGUUAUUUGGUGUUUGUGUUGAGCAUGAAUAUGAUUUGAUCAUGUUUAUUGCAAUAUGGUUAUUCAUUUAAAGUCAGAGAAUAAUUGUUGUUCUGUUUACAUGAAUAAAACCUUCGAUGGUCAUACAACCAAUGAAAAUAGUUUGUUGGAUCUCGAUCGUGUGAUACACAUAUUCAUAAUAUUGAUGCCAAAGGAUACAAAGUUGAUAAUAAUAGUGCAACAUAUUUGUGGCACUGCCGUUUAGGUCAUAUUGGUGUAAAGCGCAUGAAGAAACACCAUGCUAAUGGGCUUUUGGAAUCACCUGAUUAUGAAUCACUUGAUGCUUGCGAACCAUGCCUCAUGGGCAAGAUGGCUAAGACUUCAUUCUUCGGAACAAUGGAGCGAGCAACUGACUUAUUGGAAAUAAUACAUACUGAUGUAUGCGGUCCGAUAAGUGUUGAGGCUCGCGGCGGGUAUCAUUAUUUUUUGACCUUCAUAGAUGAUUUGAGCAGAUAUGGGUAUAUCUACUUAAUGAAACAUAAGUUUGAAACAUUUGAAAAGUUCACAGAAUUUCAGAGUGAAGUGGAAAAUCAUCGUAACAAGAAAAUAAAGUUUCUAUGAUCUGAUCGUGGAGGGGAAUAUUUGAGUUACGAGUUUGGCCUUCAUUUGAAACAAUGUGGAAUAGUUUCGCAAUUCACGCCACCUGGAACAGCAUAGCGUAAUGGUGUGUCCGAACAUCGUAACCGCACUUUAUUAGAUAUGGCGCGAUCUAUGAUGUCUCUUACUGAUUUACCGCUAUUGUUUUGGGGCUAUGCUUUAGAGACGGCUACAUUCACGUUAAAUAGGGUACCAUCUAAAUCCAUUGAGGCGACACCUUAUGAACUGUGGUUUGGCAAGAAACACAAGUUGUCGUUUCUUAAAGUCUGGGGCUGCGAUGCUUAUGUGAAAAAGCUUCAACCUGAUAAGCUCGAACCCAAAUCAGAGAAAUGUGUCUUCAUAGGAUACCCAAAGGAGACAGUUGGGUACACCUUCUACAACAGAUCCGAAGGCAAGAUAUUCGUUGCUAAGAAUGGAUCCUUUCCAGAGAAGGAGUUUCCCUCGAAAGAAGUGAGUGGGAGGAAAGUAGAACUUGAUGAGGUAAUUGUACCUUCUCCCGAAUUGGAAAGUAGUUCAUCACAGAAAAUAGUUCCAGUGAUUCCUACACCAAUUAGCGAGGAAACUAAUGAUGAUGAUCAUGAAACUUCAGACCAAGUUACUACUGAACCUCGUAGGUCAACCAGAGUAAGAUCCGCACCAGAGUGGUACGGUAAUCCUGUUCUGGACGUCAUGUUACUAGACCAUAACGAACCUAUGAACUAUGAGGAAACGAUGACGAACCCAGAUUCCGCGAAAUGGCUUGAGGCCAUGAAAUCUGAGAUGGGAUCCAUGUGUGAGAACAAAGUGUGGACUUUGGUUGACUUGCCUGAUGAUCGGCAAGCCAUCGAGAAUAAAUGGAUCUUCAAGAAGAAGGCUGACGCUGACGGCAAUGUUACUGUCUACAAAGCUUGACUUGUUGCGAAAGGUUUUUGACAAGUUCAAGGAGUUGACUAUGAUGGGACUUUCUCACCCAUAGCGAUGCUUAAGUCUGUCCGAAUCAUGUUAGCAAUUGCCGCAUUUUAUGAUUAUGAAAUUUGGUAAAUGGAAGCCAAAACUGCAUUCCUGAAUGGAUUUCUGGAAGAAGAGUUGUAUAUGAUGCAACCAGAAGGUUUUAUCGAUCCAAAUGAUGCUAACAAAGUGUGCAAGCUCCAUCGAUCCAUUUAUGGACUGGUGCAAGCCUCUCGGAUUUGGAAUAAAUGUUUUUAUAGUGUGAUCAAAGCAUAUGGUUUUAUACAGACUUUUGGAGAAGCCUGUAUUUACAAGAAAGUGAAAGGGCGCCCUGUAGCAUUUCUAAUAUUAUAUGUGGAUGACAUAUUGUUGAUUGGAAAUGAUACAUUAUUUCUGGAAAGCAUAAAAGGAUACUUGAAUAAGAAUUUUUCAAUGAAGGACCUCGGUGAAGCUGCUUAUAUAUUGGGCAUCAAGAUCUAUAGAGCUAGAUCAAGACGCUUAAUUGGACUUUCACAAAGCAUAUACCUUGAUAAGAUUUUGAAGAAGUUCAAAAUGGACUAGUCAAAGAAAGGGUUCUUGCCUAUGUUACAAGGUGUGAAGUUGAGUGCGACUCAAUGUCCGACCACUACAGAAGAUAGAGAGAAAAUGAAAGUCAUUCCCUAUGCUUCAGCCAUAGGUUCUAUCAUGUAUGCAAUGCCGUGUACCAGACUUGAUGUGUACCUUGCUAUAAGUAUAGUAGGGAGGUACCAAAGAACAUCCUGAAAUACCUGAAAAGGACUAAGGAUAUAUUUCUAAGUUAUGGAGGUGAUAAAAGAGUUCGUCGUAAAGAGUUACGUCGAUGCAAGCUUUGACACCAAUCUGGAUGACUUUGAGUCUCGAUCUGGAUACAUAUUGAAAGUAGGAGCAAUUAGCUAGAGUAGCUCCGUGCAGAGCAUUGUAGACAUAGAAAUUUGCAAAAUACAUAUGGAUCUGAAUGUGGCAGACCCGUAGACUAAAACUUCUCUCACAAGAAAAACAUGAUUACACCUUAUUACUCUUGGGUGUAAAUCACAUAGCGAUGUGUACUAGAUUAUUGACUCUAGUAGAACCCUUUGAGUAUUGGUCACAUGGCGAUGUGAACUAUGGGUAAAGAUAUGUACUAUUGGUGUUAAAUCACAUGGCGAUGUGAACUAGAUUAUUGACUCUGGUGCAAGUGGGAGGCUGAAGGAAAUAUGCCCUAGAGGCAAUAAUAAGUUAUUAUUUUACUUCCUUAUAUCAUGAUAAAUGUUUAUAUUCAUGCUAGAAUUGUAUUAACCGGAAACUUGAUACAUGUGUGAAUGCAUAGAGAAAACAAAGUGUCCCUAGUAUGCCUCUACUAGACUAGCUCGUUAAUCAAAGGUGGUUAAGUUUCCUGGCCAUAGACAUGUGUUGUCAUUUGAUGAACGGGAUCACAUCAUUAGAGAAUGAUGUGAUGGACAAGACCCAUCCGUUAGCUUAGCACUAUGAUGGUUUAGUUUAUUUCUAUUGCUUUCUUCAUGACUUAUACAUGUUCCUAUGACUAUGCGAUUAUGCAACUCUCGAAUACCGGAGGAACACUUAGUGUGCUAUCAAAUGUCACAACGUAACUGGGUGAUUAUAAAGAUGCUCUACACGUGUCUGUGAUGGUGUUUGUUGAGUUGGCAUAGAUCGAGAUUAGGAUUUGUCACUCCGUGUUUCGGAGAGGUAUCUCUGGGCCCUCUCGGUAAUGCACAUCACUAUAAGCCUUGCAAGCAAUGUGACUAAUGAGUUAGUUACGAGAUGAUGCAUUAAGAAACGAGUAAAGAGACUUGCUGGUAUCAAGGACGAAUCUAUACCAAGUAGUGACGCCCACAUAAAAACAAUGAAGAAGAACAACAGUAGAUUGCUUACGAAUAGAUCUAUUAUGUGCAUUGCAAAUCCUAUACCAAGCAUAUUUUAGAUUCUUGCCUUCCCUUUGUUUGAAAUUAAGAACCUCGUUCUCGGGGGUGCACGCAAUAGAGGAAGAACUAUCCAUAACGAUAAAAAGUGGCAAACACAAUUGCACACAAAAACAGAUCUGACGAGAAAACGACGAAUGAAAAAGAGGGCGAACAAAAUGGCAAAUUUUUGUGAAGUGGGGGAGAUGAAAAUGAGAGGCAAAUGGCAAAUAAUGUAAAUUGCAAGGAGAUGAUAUUUGUGAUUAGGAACCUGAUAGAUGUUGAUGAUGUCUCCCUGGCAACGGCGCCAGAAAUCCUUUCUUGGUGGCUCGUGUCCGCGUCAGUAUUUUCCCUGAAGAGGAAGGGAUGAUGCAGCACAGCUAUGGUAGGUAUUUCCCUCAGUGAUGAUACCAAGGUUGUCGAACCAGUAGGAGAACCACGCAACACUAUGUAAAAAUACCUGCACACAAAGAACAAAUACUUGCAACCCGACGCGUAAGAGGGGUUGUCAAUCCCUCCCGGGUAAAAGAUAGAUUGCUUUGUAGUAGAUUGGAUAAAUAGAUCCCGCGGAAACACAAAAUAAAAUAAAUAACAAAAAUUGCAGCAAGGUAUUUUUGGGUUUUUAGAAUAAUAGAUCUGAAAAUAAAAGUGGCAAAUAAUAGAUCAGAAAGCAAAUAUGAUAAAGAAUAGAAUAGACCAUGGGGACGUAGAUUUCACUAGUGGCUUCUAUCAAAAAAAAUAGUAUACGAUGGGUAAACAAAUUACUGUUGGGCAAUUGGUAGAACUUCAAAUAAUUAUGACGAUAUCCAGGCAAUGAUCAUUAUAUAGGCAUCACGUACAAGAAUAGUAGACCGACUCCUGCCCACAUCUACUACUAUUACUGCACACAUCGACCGCUAUCCAACAUGCAUCUAGUGUAUUAAGUUCAUGGAAAAACAAGGUAAUGCAAUAAGAAUGAUGACAUGAUGUAGACAAGAUCUAUUCAUGUAGGAAUAGAACCCAUCUUGUUAUCCUUAACAACAACGAUACAUACGUGCCAUGUCCCCUUCUGUCACUGGGAUUGAGCACCGUAAGAUCGAACCCAUCACAAAGCACCUCUUCCCAUGGCAAGAAAAAUCGAUCUAGUUGGCCUAACUAAACCAAAGAUUCGAAGAAUAAAUAUGAGGAUAUAAGUAAUCAUGCAUAUAAGAGAUCAAAACUCAAAUAACUUUCAUGGAUAAAAUAGAUCUGAUCAUAAACUCAAAGUUCAUCGGAUCCCAACAAACACACCGCAAAAAGAGUUACAUAAAUAGAUCUCCAAGGGACCAUUGUUGAGAAUCAAAAGAGAGAGAGGAAGCCAUCUAGCUACUGCCUACGAACCCGUAGGUCCACAAUGAACUACUCACGCAUCAACAGAGAGCACCAAUGAGGAUGAUGAACCCCUCCGUGAUGGUGUUUAGAUUGGAUCUGGUGGUUCUGGAACUUGCGGCGGCUGGAAUUGUGUUUUCAUCGACUCCCCUAGGGUUUUUGGAUUUUCGAGGUAUUUAUAGAGCAAAGAAGCGACGCGGGAGGCCACCGAGGUGGGCACAACCCACUAGGGUGCGCCUGGGCCCCCAGGCGCACCCAGGUGGGUUGUGCCCCCUCGAGGCUCCCCUCUGGUACUUCUUUGGCCCAAGUUGUUCCUUCUGGUCUAGAAAAAUUCUCCAAAACGUGUAGCUACGUUUGGACUCCGUUUGGUAUUGAUUUUCUGCAAAGUAAAAAACAAGCAAAAACAACAACCGACACUGGCACUAUGUCAAUAGGUAGUCUCAAAUAAUGAUAUAAAGUUGCUGUAAAAUGAUUGUAAAACAUCCAAGAAUGAUAAUAUAACAACAUGGAACAAGAAAAAAUUAUAGAUACAUUGGAGAUGUAUCAGUGCACCAGUUUGAAACACCGUCCUUCACUCUGUUGUCUCUGUUGUUUUGCGCUUGAACCUCCUGUAGGUCAAACGACCACCCACGCAACUGCUACGGUCGCAGAAAGGGCAUCUUCUAGUAUUUUUCUUCCAAAACUUGUAUUUUUAUUCGUUUUCCCGUGGUGUUAGUUCCAUAGCAAUACAUAGACACAUAACCAGGCAUUCAAACAUCAAUCUAGCAUAUAAAUUAUCUUGCACAAGGCUAAGCCUUCAUUAGAACAACUCUUCCAAACUCACUUCUUCACAUGGAAUUUCAUUCACUCUUUUAUUUAAAACAAAACAAAAACUUACUUGUGUACUUUGUUCAUGUGGGCGACCUCCAAUGAAGCUUUUGUUUCCAGUCGGAUAGCUCGACCGUAGUGGUGGUCAAGGUGGUGCUAGAACACCGAGACCAUAGCUUCUGGCAUUCAAAAUGAUGCCUUCUCCUGUGUAGGUCUUCAAUUUCUUUUUCCUGGGGAAAUGCCUUCUAAAGGGAUCUUUAGCUGUUAAAUCAAAACGAACAUUUCCCUCAAACACAUUUAUCACAACUUUGAUAGUCCUUACAAAAGGUCUACUGAGGAUUAUAGGAGCAAUUGGAUCUUCAGGCAUAUCUACUAUAACGAGAUCAAUCAUGACCGGGCAAUCAUUAAUUUGAACUAUAACUCCAUGCUUAAUGCCUACUGCCUGAGUAAAAGUAGAAUUAUCCAUAUUAAUAUAAUCGCAGUACUAGCAUAAGGACAAGACUAAGACUAUCAUAAACAGAUUUGGGGAUAGUGGAAACACUUGCCCCUAGAUCAGAUAAAGCACUGAACUUAUUAUGUUCUAUCUCAAUAUCUAUGGUUGGUUCAAAAGCAUCCUCUUGCUUAGCUGGUAACUUACUGAAUAACUUUUUUCUUUCAUCAUGAAGUUCAUGUACCUUGGCUGCAACGUGUUCAACAAAGACAUUAUAUGCCUCAUUGUUAGUUACCCAUGGUAGUGGAUACUUCAUGUAUAUAAUUUUGACAAAUCUGCAACGGUAUAAUUGUACACUGGCACAUGACUUCUGUUAAGUACAUCAUCUUUUUCUUCCUUGCUUCUUACCAUUUUAACUUCUUCAACCGUGUUAGGAUCUGGUUUCCCUAUAAACUCAGCCAAAAUCAAGGUUUGGCUCUCUGCUAUCUUUGCCACUUGUGCCUCCAUAUUCUUGGAUCUGGCUUCAAGUAUCUACACAUCAUUUGUUAGUCCAACAACCUUACCAAAAUUGACCGAGUAAGUUAUCAUGAUUCUUCAAGAUAUUCUUGAAGUUUUAUUCUGCUUAGCCUGGCUAGCAAUAAAACUUUUAAGAGUUUCUUCAAGAGUAUAUCUAUUGCUACCAUUAGCUCCAUUAGAAUUAUUUGAUCCUCCUCCAUUAUUAGGAUAGGGAAUUUUAGGAACAUAACUAUUAUUUUUCCAGUUGGGAUUUAGCUAUUACGAGCAAUAAAAUUAACAUCACUAAUAUCUUCACAAGUGAUGACAUUGACAUUUACCUCCUCUUUACCUUUCAUCAAAGAGAUAAGUUCUUCUAGAUUGGUUGUUAUCUGAGCUAUUUUUCUCUAUGACAUUCACCUGCUUGGUCACUAGAGGCAGGCAAAGUCCUAUUAUUUUUCUUCUUCUUUUUCUUUUUUAGAAGGACUAGGUGCAUCCGUGUUAAUUCUUUGAGAGUCUUGUUCAAUUCUCUUUGGGUGUACCUUAGGUUAAAGUGGUUUCUGAGUCAUUUUACCUCCUCUAGUUGCUACUCUAACAGCAAAGUCACUUAUAUUAUUGUUCAUUUCAUCAAACAACUCUCUUUGAGAUUUAGCAAUUUGUUCUAAUUGAGUUUGAAACAUAGAGGCAUGCUUUCCUACACCUCUAACAUCAUUUGAGAUUCUAAAUAACAAGUCACUUAAGAGAGCAAUCAUAUCGGAGUUGUAUUUGAAUUGUUUCAUAACAUUUGCAUUGAAGUGAUCUUACUUUCUAAUGUAAUUAUCAAACUCAUAAAGGCAUCAACUAUGAUGUUCAUUAUAAGGAUUAUCACUAUCAUUAAAUUUCAUUAAAUAAUUGACAUCUACCACCUAAGGUGGUGGUGGUGUAUCAAGCCCAUGUAUUUCUUCAAUAGGUGGUAAAUUUUUAACAUCCUUUGCUUUAAUAUCUUUUUCCUUCAUAGAUUUAUGUGCCUCUUGCAUAUCUUCAGGACUGAGAUAUAAAUUACCCUCUUCUUUGGAGUGGGUUUUGGCGGUGUUUCAGGAGGAGUCCAAUCAUCAUAAUUUUUCAAUAUGUUAUUCAAUAAUUCUUCAGCUUGCUCAAUAGUUCGUUCCCUGAAAAUACAACCAGCACAACUAUCUAGGAAAUCUCUAGAAGCAUUGGUUAGUCCAUUAUAGAAGAUAUCAAGUAUUUCAUUUUUCUUAAGAGGAUGAUCAGGAAAAGAAUUAAGCAAUUGGAGAAGCCUCUCCCAAGCUUGUGGGAGACUCUCUUAUUCAAUUUGCACAAAGAUUAAUAUUUCCUACAAGGCAGGUUGUUUCUUAUGAGCAUGGAAAUAUUUUUCAGAGAAGUAAUAAAUCAUAUCCUGGGGACUACGCACACAACCAGGAGCAAGAGUAUUGUACCAAGCUUUAGCAUCACCCUUUAAUGAGAAUGAAAAUAAUUUGAGGAUAUAGUAACAGCGAAUCUUUUCAUCGUGAGCAAAAAGGGUGGCUAUGUCAUUCAACUUAGUAAGAUGCGACACAACAGUUUCAGUUUCAUAACCAUGGAAAGGAUCAAAUUCAACCAAAGUAAUUAACUCUGGGUUGACAGAGAAAUCAUAAUCCUUAUCAUCAAUAAAGAUAGGUGAAGUGGCAAACUUAGGAUCACAUUUCAUUCUAGCAUUCAAAGAUCUUUCUUUAUACUUGCAUAAUAAUUUUUCUAGAUCAUCUCUAUCCUUACAAGCAAGAAUAUCUCUAGUUGCCUCCUCACCUAUAACAUAACCUUCCGGUACCUUUGGCAAUUCAUAUCUAGGAGGGCUAGUUCUAAUAGGUGUUUCAAGUUUUCAUUUUCAAGCUCAUCAUCAGUUUCAACAAUAUCAUCUGUCUUACUCUAGUAAUUUGUUCAUCAAGAAAUUCACCUAGUGGCACAUUAUCAUCAAGCAAGGUACUAGCAUCAUCAUGAGUAACAUUCAUAGCGGAAGUAGCAUCAUCAAUAACUUGCGACAUAUCAGAAUUAAUAGUAUAUGGUGGUGUUGCAAGUUUACUUAUAACAGAAGGUGAAUCUAAAGCGGAGCUGGAUGGUAGUUCCUUACCUCCCCUCGUCUUAGAGGGAAAAUUUUUAGUCUUAGCAUCCUUCAGAUUCUUCAUAGUGAUAAUUUGAUAAUAAUCCCAAGUGAUCAACAAAUAUAGCUAUGCUCCCUGGCAACAGCGCCAGAAAAAGGUCUUGAUAACCCACAAGUAUAUGCGAUCGCAAUAGUUUUCGAGGGUAGAGUAUUCAACCCAAGUUUAUAGAUUCGACACAAGGGGAGCCAAAGAAUCCUUGCAAGUAUUAGCAGCUGAGUUGUCAAUUCAACCACACCUAGAGAUUAAUUAUCUACAGCAACGUGAUCAGUAGCAAAGUAGUAUGGUAUUUUUGAUAGUAGUAGCCACAACAAUAGUAACAGUAACAAUGAUAGCAGUAGUUUUGUAGCAAGUGCAAUAGUAACAAUAGCAAUAGUAACUUAGGAAGAUCAACAUGUAGGAAAAUGGUAGGCAUUGGAUCGGUGAUUCGUUGGAUGAUAUUCAUCAUGAGACAUUCAUAACCUAGGGUAAUAUGGCACUAGCUCCAGUUCACAAAUAUAAUGUAGGCAUGUAUUCCGUAAAUAGUCAUACGUGCUUAUGGAAAGAACUUGCAUGACAUCUUUUGUCCUACCCUCCCGUGGAAGCGAGGUCCUAUUGGAAACUAAGGGAUAUUAAGGCCUCCUUUUAAUAGAGAACCAGAACAAAGCAUUAGCACACGGCGAAAACGUGAACUCCUCAAACUACGGUCAUCAUCGGGAGUGGUCUCGGCUAUUGUCACUCCGGGAUUGCCGGAUCAUAACACGUAGUAGGUGACUAUAACAUGCAAGAUCGGAUCUGGAACAUAGAUAUAAUGGUGAUAAGAUAGACGGUUCAUAUCUGAAAUCAUGGCACCCGGGCCCAAAGUGACAAGCAUUAAGCAUGGCAAAGUCAUAACAACAUCAAUCUUAGAACAUAAUGGACACUAAGGAUCAGGCCCUAACAAAACUAACUUGAUUACAUGAUGAAUCUCAUCCAACUCCUCACCGACCAGCGAGCCUACGAAGGGAUUACUCACUCCUGAUGGGGAGCAUCAUGGAAUUGGCGAUGGAGAAGGGUUGGUGAUGAUCUUUGACCUUGGGACCGAUAGAUAAGAAGGCAAGGCAGAAGAACCAAUUGAAUCGCGGAGAACAGGUAGCUCCGGCAUGUGAACUUGUCGAACCAUUCAACUAUACUGUAUAUCGAUUGGCCACAUCAAUGCAUUUCACCUCGGAACUUGUACUUGGGAAGAUCGAAGAUCCCCCUCUUUGGAGACCCAAAAAGACUCCAGAUCUGGCCUCCCGAUGAAGAACAGGAGACGGCGGCGGCUUUGUCUCGUGAAACAUGAUAAUUCUUUCUCCCUUAUUUUUUUGGAAAAAUAGGAUUUUAUAGCGUCGGUUUCAGGGUUUGCGGGGCCACCAGGUGGGGAAAACCCACCUGGGCGCGCCUGCAGGGGGUGGCGCGCCCUGGUGGGUUGUGCCCACCCAGGUGUCCCCCUCCGGUGGUUCUUGGCUCUAGAAAUUAUCUUUUAUUGUAUAAAAAUCCUCGCAAAUUUCGUUCCAUUCCGAGAACUUUUAUUUCUGCACAAAAACAACACCAUGGUAGUUCUGUUGAAAACAGUGGUAGUCCGGGUUAGUUUCAUUCAAAUCAUGCAAAUUAGAGUCCAAAACAAGAGGAAAAGCGUUAGUAAAAGUAUAUACGAUGGAGACGUAUUAGAAUCCUCCUGAGAUCCCAAGGGAGAAGCUCGCGUGGUUCCGGGUUCUCUGGAGGCACCCAUACUGCGUCUGAACGCCCGAGCGAGAUUUGAUCACCGCUGGUGUGGCAGGUCGCGAUGCCGGAUGUAGCCAGGAGAUGAAAACUUCCCGAGGCCUGGGGCCGAGGACCAUAUUUGCCUAUCGGCUCGCUCAAGAGCAUCACGCGAAGACCCGAACGCUAAAGCCUUGGUGAGACGCGAGUGUGGGUGGACUUGCAGCUGUUGUUGCAACAUCACCGGGUUUGCCCCGUGUGCAACACCGCGCCCAGCCCCCGGUCGCGUGGUGCGAGGGAGUGAACAAUGGGCAAUUGUUACUUCCGAAACAAGAUUGAAGAGGUACAACACCGCAAGAAGCAACAAAUCCUGACCCCCCAUUUGAAUAAAGACGCGGAAAUUUCAACUUCAUUUCAAGAAAUAACAAAUUUUGGUUACAAGAGGAAGCAAAGAACAGCCGCCUCCAGCACCUACGCUAGUCUUCUAGUCUUCCUACCAACGCGAAGCAUGGGGCCUCCACUGGGCGUGGGUGUAGUCGCUGAUUGACCGUGUCAUCCGCUAGCGCGGAGCAUGGGGCCACUUGGGCAUGGGUGGGAGCCCCCGUGAGGACCAGGGGCGGCACUCAGGAGACUCUGGGGGCGUGUAUAGGCCCCCUCAUUAUUACGUGGGAGUGUCACAGGUAGAACUUUCGGAGGUGCUGGAUGUUCCAAACAUUCUGGAUGGGGACCCCGUCCUACGUCUCCAGGCAUACGACGCUAGGCCUGGAGACGUGGGCGAUCCUGAAUGGGCCCUCCCACAUGGGCGAGAGCUUGUGAAGGCCCUCCCUGGAAAGGACCCACCUCAGGACAAGGUCUCCCACCUCGAGGGUUCGGGAGCGGACGCUGCGGCAGUGGUAACGCCGCAGCGCCUGCUGGUACCUCACUGCUCGGAGUGAGGCUUGGCGACGGGCUUCCUCCCCAAGCACGAGAUCUGUUCCCUGCGAGGCAUCCUAAUGGGCCUCGCAGAAUGCCAGGACUAGCAGGGAGCGAUGCCUUACCUUGUGUGGGAGGACCGCCUCGGCCCCUUAGACGAGGAAGAACGAGGUCUCGCGGGUGGGCUUAGUCAUAGUGGUACGGAUGGACCACAACACGGACUGAAGCUCACCGAGCCAACCCCUAUCGCAUGCCUCAAGCUUCUUCUUGAAGCUCCUCGCCUUGAGGCCCCUUAGGACCUCCGCGCUGGCGUGAUCGGACUGGUUAUUGCUCCGUGGAUGAGCCAUGGAAGCGUAGCAUAUCUGCGUUCCAAGGUUAGCACAAUACGUCCUGAAGAGGUUGCUUGUGAAUUGGGAGCCAUUAUCAGUAAUGAUACGGUUGGGGACACCAAAACGUAUCACGAGGCCCUUUAUGAACUUGACGGCUGAGCCAGCAGGGAUGGUGUGUACGGGCUCCACCUCCGCCCACUUAGUGAACUUGUCGAUGGCGACAUAAAGGUAGCGAUAUCCACCGGCUGCUCGAAGGGGAAGGGCCAGGAUAUCCAGCCCCCAGACCGCGUAUGGCAAUGAGAGCGGGAUGGUCUGGAGACCUUGCGCCGACUGAUGAAUUUGCUUGGUGUGGAACUGGUAGGCCUCGCAGGAUCGCACCAACUCGGUGACGUCACUGAGCGCGACCGGCCAGUGGAAACUGAUGCAGAACACCUUGCCCAUGAGGGUGCGCGAUGAUGAGUGAUGCCCGCAGUCCCCGACGUGGAUAUCAGCCAGCAACUCGGGCCCUUGUUCUUCGGAUAUGUGAUACGUCUCCAUCGUAUCUCUAAUUUUUGAUUUUUUCAUGCCAAUAUUAUUCAACUAUUACAUACUUUCGGCAACUUUUUAUAUAAUUUAUUUGGACUAACUUACUUAUCCAGUGCCCAGUGCCAGUUCCUGUUUGUUGCAUGUUUUUGUAUCACAGAAAAUCCAUAUCAAAUGAAGUCCAAACGUGAUGAAACUCUACGGAGAAUUAUUUUGGAAUAUUUGUGAAUUAUAGGAGGUGGAAUCAACGUAAACGGAGGCCCAAGGCCACCAAAACCCACCAGGGCGCGCCACCAGGCCCAGGCGCGCCCUGGUGUACCAUGCCCUCCUUGAACAUCGGUUAGAGCUAUACUUCGGGUGCAAGGAAGCUUAUAUCCAGAAAAAAAUCGUGUAAAAAGAUCAGCGCAAUCGGAGUUACGGAUCUCCGGAAAUUUAAGAAACCGUGAAGGGCCAGAUCUGGGGAGCGCGAAAUAGAAGAGAACAGAGAGGGAGAUCCAAUCUCGAAGGUACUCCCGCCCCUUUGCCGCCAUGGAGACCAUGGACCAUAGGGGGAACGCUCCUCCCAUCUAGGGGGGAGGCCAAGGAAGAAGAAGAAGGAGGGGGGCUCUCUCCCCCUCUCUCCCGGUGGCGCCAGAGUGCCGCCGGGGCUAGGAUCAUGAUGACGAUCUACAUCAACAACCUUGCUACUGUUAACACCAACUUUAUCCCCCUCUAUGCAGUGGUGUAACACCCCUUCUCUCCGCUGUAAUCUCUACUUAAACAUGGUGCUCAACUCCAUAUACUAUUUCCCAAUGAUCUAUGGGUUAAUCGUGAUCUUGGUUGGUAUGAUUGUAUAUUUUAUUUUUGGUGUUGUCCUAUGGUGCCCUCUGUCUCAUGCAAACAUGAGGGGCCCCCGCUAUAGGGUGUUACAAUAUGUUCAUGGUUUGCUUAUUGUCAGUGUUGCGGGGGUGACAACAGCCUAAACGUUGAUAAGUGGGUCAUGGCGUAUGGGAGUAAAGAGGACUUGAUACUUAAUGCUAUGGUUGGGUUUCAUGACCUUAAUGAUCUUUAGUAGUUGCGGAUGCUUGCUAGAGUUCCAAUCAUAAGUGCAUAUUAUCCAAGUAGAGAAAGUAUGUUAGCUCAUGCCUCUCCCUCAUAUAAAAUUACAAGAAUGAUUACCGGUACUUGUUAUCGAUUGCCUAGGGAUAAAUGACUUUCUUGUUGGCAAAAGCAAUCCACUUUUACUACUGCAUUUUAUCCGUAGUUUUAUUCUUGCAAAAUAGUUCCAUACUUGUUCUAGGUAAAGCAAACGUCAAGUGUCCGUAGAGUUGUAUCGGUGGUUGAUAGAACUUGAGGGAAUAUUUGUUCUGCCUUUAGCUCCUCGUUGGGUUCGACACUCUUAUUUAUCGAAGAAGGCUACAAAGGAUCCCCUAUACUUGUGGGUUAUCAAGACCCUUUUUCUGGCGCCGUUGCCAGGGAGCAAUAACGUGGGGGUGAAUAUUCUCGUGUGUGCUUGUUUUCUUUAUCGCUAAGUAGUUUUUAUUUCAUGUUCUAAGUUGUUCUCUAUCUUUAGUUAUGGAUAUGGAACACGAAACACCAAAAAAAUUAGUGGUACUUGCUACUCAUGGAGAUGGGGAACCUCCUAAAACCCUCGAUGCUCGUUAUGUGAAAAAUAUUAUGCACUAUUUUGAUAAUCCGGAGAAAACCCCAUUCAACUAUAUAAUGGGAGUAACAUUGGAUCAACGUGAAUACUUUAGGGAUUAUCGCUUGACACAAAAAGGGAAACUUUUAUGGGAUCAAAUUUAUAUGUUGCAUUGGUAUGCUCGGGAUUUAUGCUUGAGAUAUGAUUUUACUUGUUGCUCUAGGAUGAAUGCUCCACACCUUCCCUUUUCAUGCAAAUUUACUGAUAAUGAAACCUUGGCUUCUUAAGCUAAUGGUAUAUAUGAUUAUUAUGAUGUGGAAUGAAUAGAAGAAUUUGUUGCUUUAAAGGGUGCUUAUGAAAUUGAAUCUUUGUUUUAAAGUAUGAAGCUUUUGAUGAUGAUGUUUAUAGACCUGAAAAUGUUGCUAUCCUUAAAUAUUGCUAUGAUAAUUGCAAAUACAAUUCUGAUAUUGAUGCAUUUAUUGAGAGAGUCUCCUCUGUCCAAGAAGAGACUAAUGUUUUGUAGGAGUCUAUGGAAGAAGGAAUUGAUGACAUUGUGAGCUCAUUGGAUGAAAAAGAUGAUGAGGAGAGCGAAGAACAAAAGGAGGAAGAGCGGAUUAGCUACCCGUGCCUACCUUCUAACGAGAGUAACUCUUCAACUCAUACAUAAUUUAAUGUCCCUUCGUUCUUACCGAAGGAUGAAUGCUAUGAUAAUUGCUAUGAUCCUGUUGAUUCGUUUGAAAUAUCCCUUUUUGAUGAUGCUUGUGGCCAAGAUGCCAAUAUGAACUAUGCUAUUGGAGAUGAACUUGCUAUCGUUCCUUAUGUUAAACAUGAAAUUGUUGCUAUUGCACCCACACAUGAUAGUCCUACUAUAUUUUUGAAUUCUCCAAACUACACUAUAUCGGAGAAGUUUGCUCUUAUUAAGGAUUAUAUUGAUGGGUUGCCUUUUACCGUUGCAUGUGAUAAUUUUGAUGAAUAUAAUAUGCAUUUGGUUGCUGCUCCUACUUGGAAUUAUUAUGAGAGAGGAACUACAUCUCCACCUCUCUAUGUUUCCAACAUGAUAAAUUACAAGAAACUACUUAUGCUAUGUAUUGGCCUUUACUUGAUGUGCAUGAAUUGUUCUUGUAUGACAUGCCGAUGCAUAGGAAGAGAGUUAGACUUUGUCAUUGCUUGAUAUAUGUUGCUUUGUGCUCACUACUAAAUGCCAAAUCAUUGUUAAUUCAAAUUGGCUUUGAUAUACCUUGGGAUCCAGGUGGAUCCAUUACUUGAGCACUUUAUGCCUAGCAUAAUGGCUUUAAAGAAAGUGCUGCCAGGGAGACAACCCGGAAGUUUUAGAUAGUCAUUUAUUUCUGUUGAGUGCUUUUAUAAAGUUUAAAAACAAAAAAAUAUAGAGGGGAACUUAAAACUUUUCAUAAAAGAGAAGCGAUUGAAAGGUGAUGCAUUGCGGAAGUGAGGGUCGACCUUGAACACUUGUGUUCAUGCUCAUGGAAACAAUUUUUCAUGAAGAUUCUCACAAAAAUAAUUACCCCCUGUACAAUUCCAUUGUAUUAUAAAAAUAAUGUGCCAAGAUUUGCCUUUGGGAUGGGUAGAUUGCUUGUUGGUAUGUGCGGUGCAGAAACAGAAACAAUGGCUGUAGCGCACGAUUUUACAUUUCUUACUGGAACGUCAAACAUUUCCAAAACUUUUUUCACAGUCUUGCUAUACAAAUUUUUUAUUUUGUCAUAAUUUUUGGAGUACCAGAAGUAUGGUAUAUGUUCAGAUUACUACAGACUGUCCUGUUUAAGACAAAUUCUGUUUUUGAUGCAUUGUUUUGCUUGUUUUGAUGAAACUAUCGAUUUUAUCAGUGGUAUGAGGCAUGGGAAAGUUAUAUUACAGUAGCUACAAUGCAAAAACAAAAUAUUAUUUGGUUUGCAACAAUACUUAGAGUAGUGAUUUGCUUUAUUAUACUAACGUAUCUUACCGAGCUUUCUAUUGAGUUUUGUGUGGAUGAAGUGAUCAAAGAUCGAGGAGGUCUCAAUAUGAGGAGAAGGAGGAGCGGCAAGAGCUCAACCUUGGGGAUGCCCAAGGCACCCCAAGUAAAUAUUCAAGGAGACUCAAGCAUCUAAGCUUGGGGAUGCCCCGGAAGGCAUCCCAUCUUUCUUCAACAAGUAUCAGUAUGUUUUCAUCUUCGUUUUGUUCAUGUGAUAUGUGUGAAUCUUGGAGUGUCUUUUGUGUUUAUUUUUCAUUUUUCUUUUAUGCAUCAUGCUGGUAUGAUAUAGUCCAUGGUUGAUUUAUAGAAUACUCAUUGCACUUCACUUAUAUCUUUUGGGUAUGGCUUUAUAGAAUGCUUCAUGUGCUUCACUUAUAUCAUCUGAAGUUUGGACUGCCUGUUUCUCUUCACAUAGAAAACCGAUGUUCGUAGAAUGCUCUUUUGCUUCACUUAUAUUUGUUGAGCAUGAUCUUUUGUAGAAAGAAUUAAACUCUCAUGCUUCACUUAUAUCUAUUUAGUGAGACAAAUGAAAUUGGUCAUUUGCAUGGUUAGUCAUAAAAAAUCCUACAUAAAACUUAUGGAUCACUGAAUAUGAUAUGUUUGAUUCCUUGCAAUAGUUUUGCGAUAUAGUGAUGAAAUAUGUGGGAAGUAGUAGUAAAUGGUUGUGGUUAGUAAGAACAUUGGUGUUAAGGUUUGUGAUUCCCGAAGCAUGCACAUAUAGUCUCUCGUUAUGCUGGGAAGUUGUAGCACAAUUUAUCCUUGAUUGUCUAUCUUUGUGUGAAGGUCGGUGUCGGUGUCAAAACCGGCGGAUCUCGGAUAGGGGGUCCCGAACUAUGAGUCUAAGGCUAAUGGUAACAGGAGGCGGGGGACACAAUGUUUACCCAGGUUUGGGCCCUCUCUAUGGAGGUAAUACCCUACUUCCUGCUUGAUUGAUCUUGAUGAAUAUGAGUAUUACAAGAGUUGAUCUACCACGAGAUCUUAAUGGCUAAACCCUAGAAGUCUAGCCUAUGAGAUUAUGAUUGUUGUUGUCUCUACGGACUAAACCCUCCGAUUUAUAUAGACACUGGAGGGGGCUAGGGUUACACAAAGUCAGUUAUAGAGAAAAGGAAUCUACAUAUCCGAAUUGCCAAGCUUGCCUUCCACGCAAAGGGGAGUCCCAUCCGGACACGGGAAGAAGUCUUCUGUCUUGUAUCUUCAUAGCCCAACGGCCUGACCCACGCAUAUAGUCUGGCUGUCCGACGACCCCUUAGUCCAGGACUCCCUCAGUAGCCCCUGAACCAGGUGAUGUCUACUACACAACCUUCUCAUUGUAGACAUGGAUGGUAGAUAUAGGUUUUUGUAAUCUGAAAAUAUAAAAAAUAGUAAGGUAACAAGUGGUAAAAGUGAGCGUACGUAAAUGGUAUUUCAAUGCUAGGAAACAAUGCCUAGGGUUCAUACUUUCACUAGUGCAAGUUCUCUCAACAAUAAUAACAUAACUGGAUCAUAUAACUAUCCCUCAACAUGCAACAAAGAGUCACUCCAAAGUCACUAAUAGCGGAGAACAAACAAAGAGAUUAUUGUAGGGUACGAAACCACCUCAAAGUUAUUCUUUCUGAUCGAUCUAUUCAAGAGUCCGUAGUAAAAUAACACGAAGCUAUUCUUUCCGUUCAAUCUAUCAUAGAGUUCGUACUAGAAUAACACCUUAAGAAACAAAUCAACCAAAACUCUAAUGUCACCUAGAUGCUCCAAUGUCACCUCAAGUAUCCGUGGGCAUGAUUAUACGAUAUGCAUCACACAAUCUCAGAUUCAUCUAUUCAACCAACACAAAGUACUUCAAAGAGUGCCCCAAAGUUUCUACCGGAGAGUCAAGACGAAAACAUGUGCCAACCCCUAUGCAUAAGUUCACAAGGUCACUAAACCUGCAAGUUGAUCACCAAAACAUACAUCAAGUAGAUCACGUGAAUAUCCCAUUGUCACCAUAGAUAAGCACGUGCAAGACAUAUAUCAAGUGUUCUCAAAUCCUUAAAGACUCAACCCGAUAAGAUAACUUCAAAGGGAAAACUCAAUCCAUUACAAGAGAGUAGAGGGGGAGAAACAUCAUAAGAUCCAACUAUAAUAGCAAAGCUUGCGAUACAUCAAGAUCAUGCCAAAUCAAGAACACGAGAGAGAGAGAGAGAGAGAGAGAGAUCAAACACAUAGCUACUGGUACAUACCCUCAGCCCCGAGGGUGAACUACUCCCUCCUCGUUGCCACGUCUUGAGCUUGCGUUGGUUUUCCUUGAAGAGGAAAGGGUGAUGCAGCAAUAGUAGCGUAAGUAUUUCCCUCAGUUUUUGAGAACCAAGGUAUCAAUCCAGUAGGAGGCUCCUCAAAAGUCCCACGCACCUACAUAAACAAACAAAGAACUCGCAACCAACGCAAUAAAGGGGUUGUCAAUCCCUUGACGGCCACUUGCGAAAGUGAGAUCUGACAGAGAUAAUAUGAUAAGAUAAAUAUAUUUUGGUAUUUUAUAAUAUAGAUUGGAAAAGUAAAGAUGCAAAUAAAAGUAGAUUGAAAGCUUAUAUGAUAAAAUAUAGACCCGAGGGUCAUAGGUUUCACUAGUGGCUUCUCUCAAGAUAGAAUAAGUAUUACGGUGGGUGAACAAAUUACUGUUGAGCAAUUGAUAGAAAAGCGAAUAAUUAUGAGAUUAUGUAGGCAUGAUUAUGUAUAUAGGCAUCACGUCCGUGACAAGUAGACCGACUCCUGCCUGCAUCUACUACUAUUACUCCACACAUCGACCGCUACCCACCAUGCAUCUAGAGUAUUAAGUUCAUAAAGAACAGAGUAACGCAUUAAGAAAGAUGACAUGAUGUAGAGGGAUAAACUCAUGAAAUAUGAUAUAAACCCCAUCUUUUUAUCCUCGAUGGCAACAAUACAAUACGUGCCUUGCUGCCCCUGCUAUCACUGGGAAAGGACACCGCAAGAUUGAACCCAAUGCUAAGCACUUCUCCCAUUGCAAGAAAGAUCAAUCUAGUAGGCCAAACCAAACUGAUAAUUCGAAGAGACUUGCAAAGAUAACUUAAUCACACAUAAAAGAAUUCAGAGGAGAUUCAAAUAUUUCUCAUAGAUAAACUUGAUCAUAAACCCACAAUUCAUCGGGUCUCGACUAACACACCGCAAAAAGAGUUACAUCAAAUAGAUCUCCAAGAAGAUCGAGGAGAACAUGGUAUUGAGAUCCAAAAAGAGAGAAGAAGCCAUCUAGCUAAUAACUAUGGACCCGAAGGUCUGUGGUAAACUACUCACAACUCAUCGGAGGGGCUAUGGUGUUGAUGUAGAAGCCCUCUGUGGUCGAUUCCCCCUCCGGCGGAGUGCCGACGACGGCUCCAAGAUGGGAUCUCGCGGAUACAGAAGGUUACGGUGGUGGAAAUAGUUUUUCGUGGUCGCCUCUGAUGUUCUCGGGGUACAUGGGUAUAUAUAGGAGGAAGAAGUAGGUCCGUGGAUGCCUGAGGGGCCCACGAGAUAGGGGGCAUGCCCUGUAGGGGUGUGCGCGCCCUCCACCCUCGUGGCCGCCUCGACUGCUUCUUGACUUGCACUCCAAGUCCUCUGGAUCACGUUCGUUCCAAAAAUCACCCUCCCGAAGGUUUCAUUCCGUUUGGACUCCGUUUGAUAUUCCUUUUCUUCGAAACACUGAAAUAGGCAAAAAAAACAGCAAUACGGGCUGGGCCUCCGGUUAGUAGGUUAGUCCCAAAAAUGAUAUAAAUUUGUAAAGUAAAGCCCAUAAACAUCCAAAACGGGUAAUAUAAUAUCAUGGAACAAUCAAAAAUUAUAGAUAUGUUGGAGACGUAUCAAGCAUCCCCAAGCUUAAUUCCUGCUCGUCCUCGAGUAGGUAAAUGAUAAAAACAGAAUUUUUGAUGUGGAAUGCUACCUAGCAUAAUUCUCAAUGUAAUUUUGUUUAUUGUGGCAUGAUUGUUCAGAUCCAAAUGAUUCAAGAUCAAAGCUAUAAAACAUAAAAAAUAAUAAUGUUUUGAAGCAUACUAACAAAUAACCAUGUCCUAUAAAAUAGCAUAGCCAAAGAAAGCUUAUCCCUACAAAAUCAUAUAGUUAGGCCAUGCUUCAUUUUCAUUACACAAAAUACUCCCAUCAUGGCAACUCCGGUUUCAGCCAAGCAAUUGGUUCAUACUUUUUAACCCGCUUCAGCUUUUUCAACUCUUACGCAAUACAUGAGCGCAAGCCAUGGACAUAGCACUAUGGUGGUAUAUGGUGGUGGUUGUGAGGACAAAAAAGGGAGAAGAUAGUCUCACAUCAACUAGGCGUAUCAACGGGCUAUGGAGAUGCCCAUCAAUACAUAUCAAUGUGAGUGAGUAGGGAUUGCCAUGCAACGGAUGCACUAGAGCUAUAAAUGUACGAAAGCUCAACAAAAGAAACUAAGUGGGUGUGCAUCCAACUCGCUUGCUCACGAAGACCUAGGGCGUUUUGAGGAAGCCCAUCAUUGGAAUAUACAAGCCAAGUUCUAUAAUGAAAAAUUCCCACUUAGUAUAUGAAAGUGACAACAUAUGAGACUCUCUAUCAUGAAGAUCAUGGUGCUAUUUCGAAGCACAAGUGUGGAAAAGAGAUAGUAGCAUUGUCCCUUCUCUCUUUUUCUCUCAUUUUUUAUCUUUUUUCUUUUAUAUAUUUUUUUCUUUUUGGGCCUUCCUUUUUUUUUCUUUUGGCCUUUCUUCUUUUUUUCUUUUUUUUCUUUUGUGGGCUCUUUGGCCUCUUUUUUUUAUAAAGUCCGAAGUCUCAUCCCGACUUGUGGGGGAAUCAUAGUCUCCAUCAUCCUUUCCUCAUUGGGACAAUGCUCUAAUAAUGAAGAUCAUCACACUUUUAUUUACUUACAACUCAUGAUUACAACUCAAUACUUAAAACAAGAUAUGACUCUAUAUGAAUGCCUCCGGCGGUGUACCGGGAUAUGCAAUGAAUCAAGAGUGACAUGUAUGAAAGUUAUGAGGGUGGCCUUGCCACAAAUACAAUGUCGACUACAUGAUCAUGCAAAGAGCAAUAUGACAAUGAUGAAGCGUGUCAUAAUAACGGAACGGUGGGAAGUUGCAUGGCAAUAUAUCUCGGAAUGGCUAUGGAAAUGCCAUAAUAGGUAGGUAUGGUGGCUGUUUUGAGGAAGGUAAAUAAUGGGUGCAUGAUACCGGCGAAAGUUGCAAGGUAUAAUGGAGGCUAGCAAAGUGGAAGGGUGAGUGUGCGUAUAUCCAUGGACUCACAUUAGUCAUAAAGAACUCAUAUACUUAUUGCAAAAGUCUAGUUGCCCUCGAAGCAAAGUACUACUAUGCAUGCUCCUAGGGGAAGGGUUGGUAGGAGUUAACCAUCGCGUGAUCCCGACCUCCACUCAUAAGGAAGAAAUUAAAAGAGCACGUCAUGCAACAAAUUUGUCACACAACUUUCACCAUACGUGGAUGGUACGAGACUUGCCAACUUCAACACAAGUAUUUCUCAAUUUCAUAAUUACCCACUAGCAUGACUCUAACAUUACCACCUCUAUAUCUCAAAACAAUUAUCAAGCAUCAAAUUGAUCCUAGUGUUUUAUACACUUUCUAUGAUAGUUUUUAUUAUACCCAACUUGGAUGCUCAUCAUUAUAGGACCAAAUUUAUAACCAUAGCAAAUACCAUGCUGUUCUAAAAUACUCUAAAAAUAAUAUAAGUGAAGCAUAAGAGAUCAACAAUUUCUUCAAAAUUAAGCCACCGCUGUGCUCUAAAAGAUAUAAGUGAAGCACUAGAGCAAAAACUAUCUAGCUCAAAAGAUAUAAGUGAAGCACAUAGAGUAUUCUAACAAAUUCCAAUCAAGUGUGCUUCUCCCAAAAGGUGUGUACAGCAAGGAUGAUUGUGGAAAACUAAAAAGCAAAGACUAAUAUCAUACAAGACGCUCCAAGCAAAACACAUAUCAUGUGGCGAAUAAAAAUAUAGCUCCAAGUAAAGUUACCGAUAAACGAAGACGAAAGAGGGGAUGCCUUCCGGGGGCAUCCCUAAGCUUAGGCUUUUGGCUAUUAUUGAAUAUCUUGGGGUGCCAUGGGCAUCCCCAAGCUUAGGCUCUUGCCACUCCUUAUUCCAUAGUCCAUCAAAUCUUUACCCAAAACUUGAAAACUUCACAACACAAAACUCAACAGGAAAUCUCAUAAGCUCCGUUAGUGAAAGAAAGCAAAACCACCACAUAAGGUACUGUAAUGAACUCAUUAUUUAUUUAUAUUGGUGUUAAACCUACUUUAUUUCAAGUUAUCUACUGUUCAUAUCACUUAAUACUAGCCAUAGAUGCAUCAAAAUAAGCAAACAACACACGAAAGGCAGAAUCUGUCAAAAACAGAACAAUCUGUAGAAAUCUGUAACCCUCGAAUACUUCUGGAACUCUAAAACUCCUACAAAAAUAGGAAGUCCUGGACAAUUUGUCUAUUGAUCUACAUCAAGAAGAAUCAACGCAAAAUCACGUUUUUGUGAUUUAACAAAAUUAAUUUAGUGCGCGCAAAGUUUCUGUUUUUCAGCAGAAUCAAAUUAACUAUCACCAUAGGUUAUCCUAUAGGUUCAACUUGGCACAAACACUAAUUGAAACAUAAAAACACAUCUAAACAGAAGGUAGAUGCAAAAUUUAUUACUAAACGGAAACAAAAACAAAAAACAC
rnacentral:lncRNA from 1 species